rnacentral:lncRNA from 1 species
GUUUGAGUGGUAUAUUCCUUAUCGCAUCAUUGAUGGUGCUGAAAUUUCCACUGCCAUCCUUUGCCACCGUCACAUUGGGAUUGAGCUUGACCUUGAGGUACUCCUUAAGCAACCUACGAUCCCUUUUUGAAACCCAUGAGGGGUAGCCUCGCUUCAUGACAGGCCGGUCCUCCACCGACAGGAGGCGGCGACUGAAUGACGGGAUGCCGAGCAUCGUCAGGAUGUCGGAAACCUGCCCGACCAUGGCAAGCGCAUUGCUCGUCAGCUCCUUUGUAGUCUUCAUCGCACUCCUCAUCUUGUUCUUGAGCUCACCCUCCGGGAAUCCGUCGACGCACGUCUCCUGGUAGAAGAAGACGGCGCUCAGCCAAUUCUUCAGGUUGAGGGUCUGAUCCGGGAGGUGCUCGAGGCCGGUAUCGAUGAUUUUGUCCAGCGUCUUCACGAGAUCCUCCUUGGAAUCCUGGUACAUCUCCCAGCAAUCGUUAAUUGCAUCCUGGACCCGGCUGUCGUUGGAUUUGAUCAGGCGAGAGUGGGAAAAGGACUCGCUGAUCUCGUUGAUCACCGCCGUGACGGACGCCUUGAGAAGCUCUUUGGGGUCCGGUGUGCUGGUGUUUACGAGCUUGGUCAGGCUCGUCUCACAGGUCUGCUUGUAGUCGGUGGAGGCGCAGAGCAUCUUCACGGCCUUGCUGGUGGAGUGCAUCGUGCUGGGGUUUGGAUUGGGCUUGUCCUCGGCCUGAUACGUGGUGGUGGCGACCGUACCGACCACCAAAAGGAGGAGGAGGAUGGCGGAGGAGCCGGCGAUCACCAUCUUCCUCCGCUGCUUCUCUUUGAGGUCGGAAUCCAUGUUUUACCAGGGAGCAGGAGGAGGCUAUAGACUAUUGGAGCUCCUCCUCCUCCUUCCCUCUGCCUUGAGGGGUCCUGCCAAAUAGUUUCAGGCAGAGAGAAAGAGCAAGAGAAGGGUGAGGAAGAAGAGAAUGCCCAGGCUUUUAUUUCAUGACUCCUCCCUUCUCUCUGUCACGAGGGGUGGGGAGGGCUUGGAGGUGUUAUAUCGCCUCACGGACCUUGCAAGGGAUUUCCGGUUUUAAAAGUUAGUUAGGGUCGGCGGGUAAAUGGAUGGCGGACGUUUUAACCGUUGCUCCACAUUUACCGCCAAAAGCUGUCCAUGCUUUGACCUGUCCCCAUGUACAAAAAUAUCCUUGCUUAUUGUCCAUACGGCAUUCAUAUCCUCGGCAAGGUUAGUCCGCAACUUCCUAGCCUUCAUUACAGCAUGCUAAUGUGUUAAAUUUGUGGCUACUCUUUGGUAUUUUACAUAAAGUGGAAGGUCAGUGUAGGAAUUAGGAAUUUAGCAGAUGUUGUCGUUGCGAUGGUCAUAAUAUAAACGGAUAUAAAUCUUCAAGCUUCUAACUAGGAUUAGUUCAUUCUGUCAUGAUCUUAUAUAAUACUGUGGUCAAACAAAACAAUAUACUGUUUGAAGUGUUGAACUCAUCAAACCCUCCAACUUACCCAUAUACAUAUACAUAUACAUAAAUACAAUCACAUAGAGAUACAUGUAUGCAUAUAUUUAUGUAUGUAUAAGGUGUUGCUGCAUAUGGAGCACUCUGAUUUAAGGAACCUGCCAGCCCAAAUAUCCAAGAUUCACAAAGGUGUUGCUCAUAUCCUUAAACCCUAGCUUAUGAGAAAACUAACAUUCAUGGGGUGGAAAGAUAGCAUUUCAGUAUGUGAGAUAGAUGAAUUGUUUGUGAUUGGAUCAAUCAGGAUGGAUCACUAUUAUCUCUUGAGUUAGCUUUUUUUUUCCUCAUUUGACAUUUUUUUAUGAACAAAUGCCAAUUAUAUAAGUUGAUAAAUGCCAUCGCAGUUUUGAAUUGGUUCGCCUCUCUUAUUUCUCUAUAAUAAACAAAGAGAGCUGAAACUUGGAGCAUGUACACGUAAUGCGUGGGAAGUGUUUGAAGAAGAGAUAAACAUAAGCAACCUUAGGAGGUAAUAAUGGUAUUUUUCUUUCCAAGGUUACCAUUAAGUCAAAUUAAGUAUUGAUACUCCCAUAGGCCAAGCUACGACAAUCACGACCCCAAACAAAGAUGGAUGGGGGUUAUAUCAGAAUUCACCUUCCUUCACAUGAAUCCAUUGUCAGAUCAACUCAAAGCACAUAUCUCAAAGCACCAGAACUCUAUAAUCAAUUGUCUGCACAUAUCUGAAAGUGACAAAUGGAUGAUCCAGUGAUGGAUUGGCACGAAGAAAAUUGAAACCUUCCUUCACACAAAAGAUACACCCAUUAUCCAACAAAGAUUUUAUAUAUAAUAUCCUCAACUACCCUAUAUAGGACAUUGUAGUGUCAGGCAUAGAUAUAUGAACCUAUGAACUUCGCAUGUAGCAUUUAACUCAUACAUCACGAGCUUGUAACCUGGUCACUGAACCCUGUCAGUGGUGUCAGCCCCAGACUCGUACUCGCCCAAUCCUGGUAGGCUGAAUCAAUUCGGACCAACCCUAACAUGACAAAUUUUAACUUCAUAGAGCUGCAGGGAGAUGGGGGAAAGCUGAAAUAUUAACUUGAAUAGAUGCAGGUCAGAUCCAAUUCCCAACCGGCUACGCCUUGUUACGUGUGAAAGAACAUCUUAAAAAAGGAUAAAACUCUCAUUACCAUGAAAAUGGCACGUACUAUAUAUAAGAAAAGUCUGACACAGUGCACGAAUAUAAUAAAUAUAAAUUUUAUUGAUAAGUUUUCUUCAAUUAUAGUCAAUUUUCUAUUACAAAUAAUUCCGAUAACUCCAGAAAAAAAAAAAAGGUAGUUAUCUAUUAUAGAGAUGGUGUAUUUUUUUUUAUAUAGACAAAUCAAGUAAUUGAGAUGAAUACGGAUACGGAUAUGGAUACGGAUACGGAUAUCAAACGAAUAUCGAAAUUAAUAUCUAUAUUUGUUCUAAAUAAAUACAGAUACGAAUAAAAAAUUAAGUAUAUUCAUAUUUGUUAUAAACGGAUUCAGAUGCAAAUCAGAUAUUAAGUAUAUCCAUAUUUGUUAUAAACGGAUACGGAUAUAAAUAAGAUAUUUUUAGAUAUUAAUCAAAAUUUGAGAAAAAUUCAAUAAUGAAAACUAGCAAUAAAGACAUGGUUAUAAAGAAAAAAUUUAAUUAAGAAAAUAUAAUUUUAACAAGCAUUCAUUAAUAAUAAAAAUUAAAAAUAAUGAUAUAAUUAUAUAGGAUAUAUUAAUGAAAAACUACAAUUUUAGCAAACAUUCAUCAAAAGUUAAAAGCAAAAUUUUAAUGAAAACAAUAAUUCAAAAAUAAAAACCAUAAUGACAUAUUCAUAAAGAAUAGAUUUAAUUAAAAAAUUGCAAAUAGGGAUGGAAUUGGGCAGCCGGUCCAUCUUUGGGUUAUGUUCUGAGCCUGGUCCAAAAUGGUGCAAUCUCGAGUUAUAGGGCUCAAACUAAGGUACAGUCCAAACUGAAGCCUGAUUUGGAGGCCGACUUGGCCCAACCCAGACAACUCACUCACCUCUCUCUCCCUAUCCUGAUUUCUCCCCCUCCCCCUCCCCCUCCCCCUCCUAUCUCCUCUCCUUCAUAACUUUUUUCAAGGAAAUUAUCAUACUUCGUAUCGAGAAGCUCCUUCAAAUAAAGGAGGGGGUGCAAUUACGUGGUUAUGUCCUAAGCCUGACCGUGCCUCAAAGUCCAUAAGCUAUAAUAAAUUUGGGCCAGGCCUAGCUCAAGGUGAUUUUAGCUGACCUAAUGAUUGUAUAUUGCAAACUAAAGUUGGUCCUCUAUUUAAAGUUGUACACAAUUAUUAUGGCAUGCUUUGGUAGUGUAAAAAUAUUGUCCACAUAACUAAAAAACAUAAAAAUCUCUGAUAAGAUGACAAAAAAAGUUUAUAAAAAAAUAAUGAUAUACAACUCUUAUGUUUUCUCAGUGAAAAAUAUUUUGCAUUGUCACUUAAAAGAAAAGGUGAAAUGAUAUAAUUAUACAUCAGUUUUGCAACUCUUUUGCAUGAAAUUUGGGUAUUAUCGUAACAUUUAUUAUUUCAUAAAAACUUGUUUACGAGAAUUGUUGGUUGUUAUAUUAUUAUUUAACCCAAAAAGAUACUAAGGGAUUUUCAUUUUUCACAAAGAAAAUUCUAUAAAGGGGAUCGAAGCGGACCGGUCUGCGGUGGGUAAGAAGACCGGUCUGGUUCGGUUUGCUUUUUUUUUUUUUUUAUCCGGUCGGUAGGCGUAACCAAAGCUAAAAGCCGGCAUAAAAGACCGCGGCUUGCCGAUUUGCGGCUCGCAGCUGAUCGCCGAAAGACCUAGGGCUGGGCCUGCGAGCCUCUCCGCCGGAACGAAGCCAGUUCUUCGGGUUUUAGCAGAGCUAGGGUUCGUAUUCCUUUUCUGAAGUCAGCUCCCUCUACGAAACCUCCCGCGUAAAAUCGCCGUUCGCGGUUCCAAGGUCUGAAUCUUUCUUCGAACUCCAUUUUUUUAAAUUUAUUAUUCCCUUUUUAGUUCUGAAUCUAAUGCUUUUCAUGUUAGUUUAUCAGGCCGAUCGAUUUUAUUUUAUUUUUUAACUUAAAGAAAACGAUAGAGCAGUGGAAAUAGCAAAAAAAGAAAUAACGAUUAGACCUUGUGGUGUGGUAGGAGUUGAAGUGCAUCAUCAAGAUUAUGGCCCAAAAAAAGAAGUUUUCUGCAAGUCUAAUGGAUAAUUCUGGUUAUGAUGUUGUUUUUCUAUGACUUCUCAAUGCCUUCGAUUCAGAAUGCUUGUAUGUCUGGUACUGCAGGCAAUUUAAUGUAAGAAACAAAUAUUGUUUCUAUCCCCUCCUUUACGUGAUUAUUUAUGUCCAUUGUCUAUCUAGUUCUUUCAGGUACUGAAUUGCCAAAAUUGAUACAUAAAAUUAAAAUUUAGUAAAUGAUUGCAAUGUGGUUGGUUUUUAUAAGGUGGAACCGAAUAGGAUAAGUUUUGCUGCUUAUAUUAUUCUAAUGUAUAGAUUUGUUUGGGAACAUAGCUUGUAAUAUCUAUUGUUAAAGCAGUUGGGAAAUAGUAACCUUUUUUCCAUGAUAAAAAGAUGACAACUGCAUCAUGAUGAGUUGCACUGCUCAAUUGAAUUUCCUCCAUUUGCUUAUUCUAGCACAUUAUUACUGUUUGGAGUUUAAAUAUGCUGAUUUUUCAUAUUUGCAGUUGUACCAUGUUUGAUUGAACAUUUUAUGGCUUGUUUUGGUUCAAAAACCCUUCGACGGAAAGAACUCAGAUCAAAUACUUCAUUGGAUAUGGGCGAAGAGGAGAAAUUAUCCAGGAGAAGAGGAAAGAAGGACAAUAAAAAUAAAAAACCUAGAAAAGGGCCUCUCAACUUGGCUGAGGAUUUCUCAUCAAAGCAAGAGGGAAUAAAAAAGAACAAGAGUAAGAAGCAGAGCAGAGGGCAUUCAAAUGCAGUCAAAGAUGGUCCCCCUGAAAACUCAUCAAAGGUAGCCUGCAAAAGCGUGAAAACUAAGGAGUCCUCGAAGCAUCAUUAUCCGUCAGAACCUAAAGCACCCACACUCAGGUUCGAGUCAACUCUUUUACGGCACUUCUCUCAUGAGUCUGGUGUUUGUAUUCAAAUUUAACACCAUAAUUCCAAUUGUUCCUUGAUAUUAAGCCAGGACAUUAUAUUUUCUUGGCAUGAUUGCCAAUUAACAAUGUCUACUUAUUUCUGAUAAAUUAUUUAUUCAUUCUAACUGAUGGAUCACAGCUGCCAUGCAGAAAAAAGGUUGAUCCAGAAACUGCAAAGUACUUCUCAGAAAUCACAAAUCUAUUUCAAAACGGUGGCAUUGACUUAGAGGAGCGUUCUGCCAUCUGUGGCAAUGCCUUAGAAGAAACUAGAGGGAAAGAAGUGGAACUUGCAACCGACAUGAUUAUUAGUCACACCUUGCAAAAUCUUCUACAGGGUUGUGAGUUGGACCAGCUAUGUGGGUUUCUACAAAACUGCGCAAAAGAAUUUCCUGCCAUUGCAAUGGAUAAGUUUGGAUCUCAUGUGGCUGAGACAGCUCUCAAGUCUGUAGCUACACAUCUUCAGGAUGAAGGAUCCUAUUCUUAUAUCGAAGAAACAUUGACCAAGUUAUGUCAGGUAUGUCUUAUAUAUAUUUAUUAUGUUCUCAUUGAGGGUAUUCUUGUACUAAUUCAUAUAUGUGUUCUGUCAGGUGGUUGUUCUUGAUGCUGUCAGUGUGAUGUGCAGCCGCUAUGGAUCUCAUGUCCUCCGAAGUCUUCUUUGUCUUUGUAAGGGAGUUCCAUUAGACUCCUUGGAAGAAUUUCAUGUGACUAAGUCAUCUGCUGUUCUGGCUGAGCGGUUGAAUUGUAGGCCAGCACAACCAAGCGGAAAUAAUUCCAAGAAUUUUCAACAUGGAUUUGCGGUUACAUUUAAAUAUCUAAUCAGGGAAAUGCUAAACCAUGCCAAAGACGAGAUUGCAACUCUAAGAGUCAACAAGUAUAGCAGUUUGGUUUUGCAGGCAUGUGUUCCAUCACAUGACAUAAAUAGUGUUUGUAUGUGACUGUUAUAAUAUCGUGGCUUUUGUCUUAUUUAUUAAUUACAUCAUUUGCAGAGUGCAUUAAAGUUGUUAGUUGGGGAUGAUCAAGAAUUGUUGCAUGCAAUUUUGAUCCUUCUUGGCUGCUAUGAAGAAAACAUUGCUCAGGAAAUUUUCAUUGAUAGUGCAAGAAAACAAGAAAUUAUGGCUUUGCUUGAAGAUACUUCUUGUAGCCAUCUAUUGGAGGUGCUUUCCUCAUCCUUCUGAUUUAAAUCUAUCAUAUUUGCUCAAAAUCUACAUGUACCUUAAUGCAAAAGAUUUUUCUCACGUCUUUCUGUGGACGUACUGUUUCCACUUGUGCAUUCCUAUAUACCUUUAAGAAUAAUAUUUUAGUUGUUGUUUCGAUUGCUGGUGAGAGCAAUUUCUUAUGUAAUAUACUUUGAAAUUUAAACUCCUGAGCAUACACCUCAUGUUAAAUCGAAACUAUUUAACUUACAUUUAGUGGCUAUAUUCCUUCAUAGUUUUGAACAGUGACAUGUAACAACUUAGUUUUGGAUUAGUGAUGUAGGCUUAAGGCACUAUUUGCUGGUUUAUGUGCAUCAUUGUACACCAUUUUGGAGUGCCAACACCUCAUUAUAUAUCACAUUUGGUUAUUUCAUCCUAAAUAAGUUUCUGGGAUGAAUACUUUAGAAACACCUUACUGUAAAUGACUUACAAAGUUUAUGAUCCUCAACUGUUAAUCUAUGAAAAUAACUGAAAGCUUAUACCUUCAGAUAUUGCUUAUAAUCCUGUCUUCCAUGUUGUUGGAUGGAUAUAUACUUACUGCAUCCAGAUUUUAUUGAGUAAGAGAUGAUAUCUUCUUAACCAUCAUUCAUAUUAGUGUGACAUCAUGUGGAUGAGGCACUAAGUGGGUGUGCUAACUGAAUAAAUUAUUACCUGAAUAAUUGCAGUUGCUGGUUUGUGCCCUUAUUUAAGAUAAUGUUCACGAUUAUGUUGUUAACAGCUAUUAUGGGUACAUUAUGAGCAUAAGAAUGAUGUUAAUAACUGCCAUAAUGGUCUCUAUUUGGUUUUCUUACCAUUUGCAUAUUAAAAUUUUAUUUUGUUCAACAUUUUAAAAAUAUAUAGAAAUUGACAUUAAAUGCGCAUUUGGUUUGCAACCGGAAUCGGAAUUUGAAUAGGUUGGAAUGAAAAUCGAAAUAGCCAUAUCCUCCGACUUGUUUGGUUCAUGAUUGGAAUUGGAAUUGGAAAAUCAAUUCAACAGAGGGGUGUUUUUGAAAAAUCAAUUAAGUAGAGUGGUAUUUUGAAAAAAAUAAUUUUUAAAUUAAAGUUAGUAGAAUGGGAUUUGAAUAUUGGGGUGAGAGCCGGGAUUGGGUUUUGGGAGAUUGGGGCAUUCCUAUUCUCCCUUGGAAUAAGAACGAGACUCCCCUCAACCAAAAGGCUGGAGUGGGAGUCACUCAUUUUCAUUCCCAUUCCAGAGCCCAAUUCCUCCAACCAAACAUAUCCUAAGUAGUAUUAUAUUCUAGUAAUUGUGAAUGUGUCAUGUAAGUUGUAACACCAUUAUUCUGCUGAUAUUACAUGUUAUUUUUCAGCCAGUAGCAAGUUUUACUCAUUUUACUUUUUUUGGGCAAGCAUUCUUUUACUUUAAAAAAUACAGUCAAAGGUUGGAUUGAGCGAAUGAGGCUGUCAUUUUUGUUAUACAGUUUAUAAUGGUAAACUUGGGGUUGUUGUGAUGGGAUAAUGGUAGUUUUGAAUUCUCUGCUUCCACCCUGCUCUUCCAUCUCCCUGCAGGAAACAAUGACUUUGACUCCCUAGAUGUUAGGGUUUUUUAGGCUUAAAUUAACCUGCCUAAUGUCAUGGUUGCGAGUAUUCUGGAUGCUUGUAGGGCUUAUAGGUAAAUGGUCAAGGCUUGCCAAGAUUAAAAGUCAGAUUUUUGCAUUAUUUAGCUAGUGACUAUUGUGAGUAUGCAUUUCUUGUGCUCUUGGGGUAAGGGGAUGUUAGUAAUUUGUAGGUAAUGAUGCUAGUGGUUUGCUUGAUAUUAUACACUUAGCAGGCUGGGAACUAGGGUGAUGCCCAUGGUUUGGAUGGGUGUCUUUGGAGGGUUAAGCUAUUCCAAAUGUCAAGCCUAGGUUUGUUGUUGGUAGAGCAAAUAAAGUGAAAAUUCGAUGAGAUGAUUUUUUUGAUUCUAACCCUUUUGAAUUUGCUCUCCACCAUUUUUAUUCUGGCAAAUAGAAUAAUUAUUCUAUCUGUGUUCCUCCACAAAAAUUUCUACAAAAGGCAUUGGAUUGGAUGUCAGCCAAAAUGAAUCUAGCGCAGUCUAAACCACAAUUCCUUUGGUUUAAUCUGAUUAAAAUUGUUUUCACUUUCGUAUAGUGACUGUUAGAUUGGCUACUGCCACAUACCUUCUGAUUCUAUACUAGUUGGAUGAGGCUUCCAAUCAAAUCUCUCUAUAGUAUAAGCACAUGUCAAAAAAAUCUGCAUUCUUUCAGUAUUUACAAUAGAUAUUUGUAAGUGCUAUGGGGUACUAUGUACAGGUUGAUGGGACAUGGUUCUUGAUCCAUUUGAGCACCAAAUAAGUACUUUGAAGAGAAUCUGAUGUAUACUCACAAAAUAUAAGACUUAUCAAAGUUGUGGAAGCUUCCAAUUGCUCGUAGAUCUUACUAUUCACACGCUCUCAUCUGGGCUUCUUCCACAAGGAAUGGUGCAUUAUGCCCAAUCCCUAAUAUCACCGUGAAGACUGAUCUUUUUUUUUUCUCCCUAACUUGAAAUAGUUGUUUCAACUUAACAUAUAGUCUAGUUUCAGAGUUAUCUAUUAAGAGCUUAUGUGGGUCCAUAAGACUCAGGAUUUUUAAUAUGUGAGUGCAUGCUGAACUAUGUAAUAAAGGUCCCAAUGGACAAAUUUUGCAGGAUGCAUAUUGAACAAAAUUAAAUUUGUAGUAAUCGAUAAUGGGAGACUAAAGAGUAAAAGUAUAACAGAUCCUUCUUCCCAUUGCCUGCAGAAUUUUGAAUGUAUCUGUUGAGAAUUCUUCCUUCGGCCUUUAAUCUUGUUUAUCCCCUUUUUUUUUCUUUUUCUUUUUUGUUGGGACCCUGUCCUGUUUCCUUUCACUUUUUGUGUUGUUUAAUUUGACUGUUUAUUUUUUUUUAAAUAUUAUUUAAGCAAGUUCAUUACAUAUCCUGGUGUUCAUAACCAUGACUCUUUCAGUUGGUGAUUUAUUUAAUGGCUAAUGAUAAGCAAAUUAGCUCUUCAUUUUUUAGAUGACGUGGUUUCAUCCUUUGCUAAUUGACGCUGCCAUCUACUUAUGUCUAUCUAGUUAUUUCAUUCUAAAUAUUUUGCAACACUUGUAUUUCUAUCACAAUAUUACUAGAAAAACAUUGCUAAACAUUAACUAUUAUAGGCUACGGCUGAUUGUUUGCUGGGCAUGUUUUCUGAUAUUUCUCUGGCUGUUGGACCCCUGUCAAACUGUCAACCAUCUAUUGAAUUCUGCACAUAUACAUGCUUCUCAUUAUUGUUUUCUGGUAUAUGUUUUCUGAUGCUGGUUCAUUAAAGAAAGCGGCUUAUUGUUUGUCAUUUACAGGUCAUUAUUGAAGUGGCCCCGCAGAUUCUGUACAACGAGUUGCUGACUAAAGUGUUCAAAGGGUCAUUACUUAAAAUUUCAUCUCAUCGUUGUGGCAAUUUUGUUGUGCAAGCAUUAGUGUCUUCAACAAAAACCAGUGAUCAAGUACAUUUUCUUUUCUUUUUCCACCAUUACAUUGAGCUGCUCAUUACCUCAUAUCGAUCUCUGCAAAUUGUCUGGUGGCGUGAUCUUCUUUAGGUUGAAAUAUGUGUUAUUUUUCCUCCUGAGAUUUUGUUACUUCUAAUAUACUGAAGGAUGAAGACAAGGUCAUUUGCUUUUGUGUAAGAUUACUGGAGUGUGGCACAUGUGAUGCCCAUGGUUUUUAUAUAUAUAGAAAAAAUAAAUGGUGAGAACCAUUUGAAUAAGUAACAAAAAAUGCUAGGGGAAGGGCUCGAGAGUAGUUAGUGGACAAGCUCUAACCAACCUGUGCACAUGCUAUAAAAAAAUAUGUAGACAUGGGGUGGGGAAAUGCAAAUACAGAGGAAAACAUGGAUGGAUGGGCGUGCUUCACUAAGGGGCUGUCACGCUUAUUGGGAGAAUUAGCAUUAUAUAUUAAAAUAGAUGUUUACUACUGAUCAUACGAGUCCUUAUUUUAUGAUUACUGUGUUCCAAAACUUAGAUACACAAGUUUGUUAUUCAAAUCUCUGACUAUUACUUUAGUAAUCUGCAAAACAAGUUGCUUCAGGGUGAAUUUGUGCAAUGAGGUGGGCUGCUUUGGAUUAUUGUGUAAAAGGAAACAGUCAUAAUAGUGUGUCAUAUGAGUUCUCUUGCAUAGGGACAGCAUGAUUUGUUGAGGAACUUUACUACUGCUUCACAAAUCUGCCAGGAGAACAUCUUGAUAACGAGAAUGUGCUGGCCUUGUCAUGAUUGCCUGCAACAGAGUUGCAUUUAACACCAUUCCCUUUCCAUGCUUGCUCAUGUUGUGCCCACCUUAUGUCUUAAAAUUGCUAUUGGUUUCUAAUGAAUGCAAACAUUGGUUUGUGAGCACCUGAGUAUUUUCUUGAGAAAAACAUAUCUUAUGCAUUGUGUUUACCAUUAUAUGUAUAACUCCUCUAUUUUUUAUUUUUUUUUGCUAUUGGAACAAUAAAUGAUGGUGCCAUAGAAAAUUUCUUGUGUCCUUUUCUGCACAGAUGGACUUGAUCUGGGAGGAGCUUGGUCCAAAGUUUAAGGAACUACUUGAAGUUGGGAAGGCAGGUGUCAUAGCUUCUAUUUUAGCAGCAUGCCAACGGCUUCAAACCCAUGCCCAUGAGGUUUUCAACUUUUUGUCUCGUCAUUGCAAUUUUUUUAUUUGAAUAUUUUGCAUUUUCUCUUUCAAUGUCAACCUUAUUUUUUCUUGUCUGGGUCAAUUUUUUGUUCUCAUGUGCAGUGUUGUCAGGCCCUUGCUUCUGCAGUAAGUUCAGAUUCUGAAUAUCCCAGUUGCAUAAUUCCACACAUGCUAUUUCUGGAGAGCUACUUCAGGGAUAAAUCCUGUUGGAAAUGGCCUCUGGAUGGCAAGAUGCACGUAUUGGGUUGUUUGAUGCUACAGACUAUUUUUAGAUAUCCAAGUGUACGUCAAAAUCUACUCUCCUCUUUUCAUGUUGAGGUGUAUUCUUUCAUAUUCAUUAUUUUCAGUGGAAAUCCUAUAUUUAAUCUUCUUUAUGACAACUAGUUAAGAUUGGAAUGGGGAAAGGAUAAUGUAAUAGAUGUCUUGGUUACAUUUGUUUGGUAUGACUGUCAAGGAGCAUUCAUUGUUUUCGUGCUUUCAUAUAAUGUGAUUCUAUUCUCAGUUUGCCCUUUCAAUUGAAAGCUUUUCAUUCUUUCAAAUCAAGUGUAAGAUUAUUACUUUGUACUGUGGCUCUGUAUUACUCUAAUUAACUAUUAUUGUUUGAACGAAUGCAUGUGAGAUCAACAUAUACAUAUACAUACACAUGCACAUGUGGCUGCUUCAAAAGUCAUCACCAAUGUACUAAAGUUAAUAUUUUUUUGUCCAUCUCCCAUCCUUAAUGACAUGAGAUAUGUUGAAACUCUUGCCUUGCAUCUGAUUAAUGUGAUAUGUGUUCAAUUAAUUUCUUUGAAUUGUGAACUUCUUCAACUAGAUUAAGAAACAAUUACAUGAAUAACUGAGGCUGAAUUAUGCAGAAAAUGCUUUAUUUGGUAGCAUGAAAAGGUUGUGUUUUGAAAUAUUAAUGUGCAUAAUAUAGGCAAACCGUGCCACUAUUGCGAGGUUUACUUUGAUUUCAUUUUUUUCUAGGUUUUUCAAAACCCAGAAUUCUUAUGUCUUCACUGAACUGCAUCUCUGUUCCAUCUUGGCAUAUCUAACAGUAUAUUAUCUCAAACCUCGGUAGAAAUCUGGUCUAAUGAUAUAUUAUGGGGAUUCUUUCUUAGGUACCCUUCAAAAUAAAAUUCUAGUCCCAUAUAUAAUUUCCAGUUAUUUGUAUUACCGGAUAAUCCUGCAAGUUUCUGAAUUUCCUUGUGACAAAUGAUUCUUAAACAGCAACUUAUUGGGCCAUACAUCUCCAGUAUUACAUCUAUGGAAGCUGAACAUAUCUUCCAAACUGCCAAAGAUGCUGGAGGAGCCCGUGUUCUUGAAGUUUUCCUUUGUUCUGAUGCUACUGCAAAACAAAAGCUUAAAGUUAUUACCAGGUAAAGCAUCGAACUACAUCCAAACCUCAUAAUUUUCCUAUACAUGUUCUUGCAUAUUUUUUAUGCUUGUUUUGUUAGUAUGUGUUUAUGAAAGAGUGUUUUUAUCAGAAAACAGUCUAACUGCAUGUUCUUGAAGUUAGUGCUGCGAAUGAAAAAAAUGACAUCCUAAAUAGGAAGGUAGUGAGAUAGGUCUCUGAGUAUCUAAUCGAAGAUCUGGCCUAGCCCAAUUUAAAGUGGAGCCACUACAACUAAUACAUUCCUUUAGGUGACACCUAUCUAUUUAUUAUUUUAUUUUUUACUUUUUCAUUUGAGAAAAGGGAGGGGGACCAACCCAUUUAUUAGAUUUUUUAAAAACAUAUUAGAAGGGGUACAAAGGGGAAGAGAGAGGUGCAAAGGAUGAAGGAGGAUAUGGUAAGGUAAGGAAACACAAAAGAAGAGUUAAGAGAGGAGGUUCCACACAUGUUGGUAGCCAGUCUUGGCCUUUAGGAUUGCAGAGCAUUGAUGAAUCUUUGAACAGGGCAAUCACAGAAUUUAGGACCAUGUCGUGGGUGGAGGAUAUCUCUAAUAUAUUAUUAUUAUUUUAUCCAAUAACCAUAAAAUAAAAAAAUAUAUAAAUGUUUCUUCUAUAAGGUUCGGACUGAGUUAGUCUUGGAGAGAAAUGGCAGUCUUACAGAAGGAAUUUGUAGUUUAGAACUCCAAAACAUACUAGUAAAAGAACUGCAACCAAAAUUUAACACAUUGUCAUUAUGAUGUCUUAUAUUAGAAGUUUUGCAACCUAUUUCAUUAGGGAGAUACAGUACAUGUUUGCAUGUGGGCCACAAAAUCUUACACCUCAUUUAGAAAGACUCACUUAUUUGUCUGAAAAUAAAGCACAAAAUGCCCAUUUUUUGCAAUUAGUGAUGUGCAACCAUAUUGUGAUUACAGCUACACCAAAUCAUGCUUCUUUAAAUUCCUGUUAGGAAGUACUUGAUGUUGUGUUCCCCCCAGGAGCUAUAGUUAGAAGUCUCUGUUGUACAAUAUCAGGCAUGGUGAUUCUCCUUAAACUUCCUUGGACAACCUUAGAUCCCCAUCAGAUCCUCUUCCCACCACAAAAAUCAUAACCAACAAGCCUUACUAAUUUUUGGCCAGCUAACCGAUUUUCAACUAACUGUGACAUCCUUUAUCACUAUCAACGUUUUGGAUCCUUCCUAACUUCAGUUUAUGAUGGUUAUGACUUCCCCUUCUUGUUGACCCUUCCAAUCUUAUUCCCUCCUCAUUGAUGCCUCUCAGAUAUUUGUUGCAAAUGGCCCAUUGUAGUCACCCAUGAGGUUUGAAAUCUUGGUAUUGGUCAACAUAUUGGUUUUGUACAAAUGGCCCAUUGUAGUCACCCAUGAGGUUUGAAAUCUUGGUAUUGGUCAACAUAUUGGUUUUGUACAGGAAUGAUAUGGCACCACUAUGCACCAUACCAUACCAACCAAUACAUAGUUGAUAGUACAGUAGUUGGUGCCAGAACAGCAGCCAGCACCUUUUUUUGUAGUAGCUCAAAGGGUAUCCCAAGCACCAGCCCUUCACUGGUCUGGUCCAAUGCGAACAAACUAGUACUCAAUUCUUUUGUUUCCCUUUCAUGACAAUGCCACUUCUAUGAUUCUUUUAAUGUUAUCUAGUCUUAUUGUUCUCUUUUUCUGAUCGUGCCAUUGCUCUUUCACACUUCCACCUCAAGAUUCUCAUGUUUGUCAUGCUCAAGUACAUGUUUGCACCUCCUUUGUUACCCGAAAUUCCAAUCUAAUCUCAUUUUUUGCUCUUCUAGUUCCUUUAUAUAUCUAUGCCUAUCUUUCUUUCGUGUGCCGGUUCAUGACAACAAAUAUGAUCACAGAGGAUUAUAUUUUGGAUAUCAAUGUUAACUGUAUCAUCCUUUUACUUUAUAUUCCUGCUAAAUUUGCAUUCCACAUAGAGUCUUGAUUCUAGUCAUUCUGCUAAUUUUUGUACCAUCUUCCAAAGCUUUCUUUAAAAAAAAAUCCAAUUUCAAUUUCAUUGCUUUCUCAAUUUACUAAGUAAUUCCACACUGUCUUUAAAUUAAAGUCCCAAAAAAUGCCCUGCUGAAUAUCAACAGGAAUUUCAACUGUGCAUAUUAGGAGACAAGGGCCGAUAGGAAGCCGUUGUGAAGGCUUAUCGAGGUCAUAAGUAGUACAAGUUUCUAUGCAUUAAAUGUUCAGGUCUCAAUAUUUCUUUGAUGAAUAGCUUACAAGGCCUAUAUUAUUCUAAAUUAGAUAAGUUGAUUUUGCAAAGGUUUUACAUAUUAAGUGUUGCACUUACCAUACUGGUUAAGGUUCCUGCACUAUAGUGGACAGCAUAACUUAUGUGUUUCAAAGAGUUAAAUACAUUUGAUGUAAGAACCUUUAAGCAAAAAUUUAGUGCAACUUGAAAGACAUACAACAUGUGUAAAAGUAUAAGAGUUGGACUGCACAAUUUGCAUUAACUCCUUGUCAAAGGAGUUAAUGUUUUUAAAAUCAAUGAUAGGGAAUACAAAGUGAAGAUCGAACAUGAUCUACACUACAAAGAAUGUGUAGAAACCAAAAUUCAUAUACAAGGAGUUAACGAGCUUAAAAUAAAUGAUAGGAAAUUUAAAUUGAAGAUCCAAAUCAUUGAACAUAGGCUAUACUACAGAAGAAAGCUUAGAAACCAAAAUUCAUAUAUUUUGGUGGUCUAAUCUAUGUAUCAAGCUGGUACAAGAAUGAAAGGUAUCAAUUGCAUUUGGAUGGUAAAAUACAUGGAGCAUGUAAAGUGAAAAUCCACCAUUAUGGAUCAUGAUCUUCACUAGGUUUUGAUGGUUAAAUCAUUGUAAAUUCACUAGGUUUUGAUGGUUAAAUCAUAGUAAAACAUAUCAUGCUGAAACCAACCAUUUUGAUGCCUACCUGAUGAUUGACACAUGAAUUUUGAUUUCUAGGCAUUUUUGUAGUAUAGAUCAUGUUCAACAUCUUGGAUCUUGAAUUUAGAUAGUCUAUUGUUUGUGAAUUGUUGACUUUCUUUUUCAAUGAAUUAAUAUAAAGUGUGCAGUACAACUCAAAAUGUAUAAUUUUUUAUUACUAUGCAUCACAUUACAAUUGCAUUGCAUGUUCCUACAGCUCAAAACUUUAAAAUAUAAGUUAGAAAUUUGUGUUUCUUUUUACCAAAUAAUGUUAUAGUACAAAGUGUGAAGACAAAUGCGUAAAUCUGACUACUGCUGUAUGGAAAAAUGCAGGAUGAGAUAAAACCCUGUAGAAAUUUUCUUUUCUUUUAUUGGUAAAUUUAAAGCAAUUCAUGCAACAAAUACAAUUUUUAAGAUGAAAUAGUUGGAAAUUUUAUUGAGAGUGAUAAUAUGUGUAAAACUAAUACUAAUUACUUGUAUUCAGCCUUAACUUUUUCUUAUGAUAUGUCAUAUUCCAUUUGAAAAGAAAUAUUUCCAUAAUGUGUUAUUUUUCCACUAAAAAGAAAUAUAAGUGUAUAUUUACCAGAUUUAGCAAAAACUUUCCAAACAUUUGCCUUCUUUCUAUUGCCCUUUCUCUCUUCUUUGCAAACUAUUUUUUCCUGUCACAACCCAAGACCUUACCCAAAAUAGCUAGCCGAAAGGUAUUUUUUAGGUUCCUCAAUCCUAUAUAAGUAUCCAAGAUCUUCUCGGCGAGUAACCGAUGUGAGACUAAGCACAUGCCUGCACGGGUCCUCACAUACUCCUGUUCAGGCCUUGACGUCCUCGUCAGUUUAAGGGUUCAAAUCCAUUCAAAUCUAAUUACAAGCACCACAAUUGGCCUAUGGUUAGCCUCUAUGAACCCUUGCUGCAGUGUCCCCUAGUCUACAUAAGCUGUGGGCCGAGUUCGCUCUGAUACUAUUUGUCACAACGCAAAACCUCACCCAAAAUAGGUAGCUAAAAGGUAUUUUUUUGGGUUCCUUAGUUCUGUAUAAGGACCCUGGAUUUUCUCAAUGAAUAACCGAUGGGAGACUAAACACACGCCUGCACGGGUCCUUACACCCCCACCCCUCUACAAUUGCCUUCUUUAAAUUGCUAGUUUUUGUAGGAACAUGGUAAAUGAUUUGUUUCCUUAUAUCAUCCUUAUUCUACAAUAUAGAUCCCUUGUUAUGUUUUGUCUUUGUCUCUCUCUUUCUGUCAGUUGGGGUCCUAGCUCCGAAUACAAAGCUGAAACAGAGCAGACAUAUAAACAGACUAUAAGCAUUCAAAACCCACACCAUUUGCAUCAGCUUGUGCCUUCAGUAGAACCUCUACUGAAAUGUUAUCCUCUCAGACCAUUAGCUUCUGCAAUUGGCACCCUUGAUUGGCCAAAUAAUCCACUACCUGCUCCCCUUGGGUCAUUAUGGCAUUCAUCACUAUACUUGGCUAUCUAACUACAAAUCCUGGAGUUUUGCAAGCAUGACUGUGUGGCAAUCAUGAACUGCUAGUUAGAGUUGAUAAAUGCAAACCCCCUUUUCUUUUCGCAUUGGUUGAAUGUCCAAGGGCUUACUAGAUUCCAACUACUUUGACUGAAUGCCCAAGGGCCAACUACUUCCACCUUGGCUUUCUUUUAAAUUUCUAGCAUGAUAAAGUUCUUUUGUCUUUUUAUCCGUUUCCAGGUUAGCUGGGUUAAGUCAGGUUGAGUUGGAUUGUGCCAUGUUAAUUGGAUUAUAUUGAGUUGAAUAGGAAUUUAGGAUAGGGGAAAUGUUUGGUACAUAUUGUUGAGUUGAGAUCUCAAUUGUUCAUAAAUUUCAAUAGCAGGGACAGACAACUAUGUCUUGCUUUUUUCCCCCAAGCCAAUUGCAGAUUAUUAACAAUCGCAAGCAUUCGGUGCCUAUUUCUUAAGUUACAAUGAUAUUUAGUUAUUUACAUCCAAAGAACCCACUGCAAAAAAUGGUUAAUAACUUAAUAUGGCACUCUAAUAAAGUGUAUAUUUAAACUGUGGGUUCGAGGGUUUUUAAUAACAUUGUCAAGUCACAGAUGAGAUUAUGGGGGUGAAAAGCUCCCUAGGAAACUUUGUGAUUCUGAUCUUCGUGUUGUAGUUUUUCACUUUCAGUAGUUCAGUUUCAUGCUGAAUUCAGCUGAAAUACAAGAAGGAACUGCAUUUCGAGAGAAACCUUCAGAAUGUCAGAUUAACUGUUUUUCCCCUUUACCUUGUUUCUUGAAGACUGCAAGAUCAUUAUGGAGAGCUUGCAAUGAAUCCUUCCAGCUCAUUCACAGUUGAGAAGUGCUUCAAUGCUAGUAGCAUGUCUCUGAAAGAGGCUAUAGCAGGGGAGUUGCAUGUCGUGCAAGCAGAACUUUCCAAGACAAAGCAUGGUCCAUAUCUCUUGAAGAAGCUAGAUAUUGAUGGGUAAGAUGGUCAUCCUUUUACAACCUUUUUUCCUUCCCUGGAUUUUAUUAAUCUGUUUUACUCUGGAACAAUUGAGUUCGUUUUUUUUAAUAUAAAUUUUGAUCAACUUCUGAUGAUCUAAAAAUUAGAUCGACAACCAGUUCUAACCAAAUUACAAAUUUUUAUGCCAAAAAAAUGGUCAGAUCACAUAAGUCAUAAUUUUUAUGGAAUAACAAAAUUGGUGACCAGAAAUGUUAAUUUAGUGUAGAUAGAAGUCUCAUAUGAUGACAUCAACAUUCACUACCUUUCUACCCUGUCAUGUCAGGAUGGUUACAUGCAAGUCAUAUAAGAUAAAGAAUACUACAGAAAUUAUUUUCUAAAAAUAAUUAUGGUAAAUUUUAGGUCUACAGGAGGCUAUUGGAUGUGUGGAUGCAUUUGUAUUUUUUUGGAUAAGUUAAUUUAUCAGAAGUGGCUGGACUAGGAGCUCCCUGUUCUUUUAGCAGGAACAUGGGAAUUAUUUGUUGAGGUUAUCAAGUAAUUGCAUACGUAUUCAGCUUAAAAGGAUUUAUUCCCUCACCCUGCUCGAGUUAAUCAGACCUUGCUGCCUGCAUUUUGGUUAAUCUUGUUUUCGACAAAUUUGCAAAACAAGAUGAUUAACUUUUCUCAGCUUUUCGGUCCUGAUUGUGAAUCCAAAAUACAGAAAUUAAUUACUGCUGAAGUUGGUAAUGCCCAUAAAUUUGUCUUUUGUUCAAGCUGGCCACUGUUCAUCCAGUUGCAGCUCUGAGGUUCAAACAUCAAAAGCUUUGAGUUUCAAAUCUUGUCAGAUAGUUUUAAUGCUGCUUUACAUGUGAUAGAGUGGUUUGUCAGCUCAUCAUAACAAGGUUAUAGCAUGAUUUAUUUUUCAUCAUAACCGUCAUCCAAGUUUUUCUCCAUCAAAAUAGAGGGGAUAUGAACCCAAAACCUGAGAAGGCUUUGUCUUGUUUCUUUCCUGGUGUGUGUGAUUAUCCUAUAUAUUUAUGCUCUUCCUGCUUCAUGAUAUUCCCAUUCUUGAGUUUACCUAGGUGCUGGGUGCAGGUUGGCCCAGGGCACAACGAUACACAGAUAUGAUCUAUUCCUUUAGACCCCACAGAUGGCCGUGUUCCAAAUCAACCAUCUAGUUUUGUAUUUAUAUGUUUUUAGAAAACUGGUUGUGAAUAUUUUCUUUGGCUUUUUUGCAGAUUUGCAAAACGACCUGAGCAAUGGAAAUUGCACCAAGCAUCAAAAGAGAGUGCAUACAAAGAAUUCCAGGCUACAUUUGGAUCCAGCAGUAAAUCGAAUGAACAAAAUGUACCAGUACACCAGUCAUCCCAGGAAUCCUCAAGGAAAAGGCAUAAAGGACAUGGGAAAAUGGAUGAUAACAUCGGUCAUGGUCGCAUUUCUAAUGCUGGUGCAUCUUCCAGUGCAGAAUAUCCUGGCCUUGAGAUCUCGAUGGCGAAGUUGGGUUUCCCCGGGCACAAGCAAGGUUUCAAGAGAAAAGGUUAUUCAGAUGAGAACGAUGCCAAAGAAACUCUUAGCAAGAAAUUUAUCAGAAACAGCAUUGAAACUUCAUUUGUGAGGAAAUCUGGGAAGAGAAAAUCGUCAGCAACUGAGCUAGCUGAUCUUGCUGGGAAGGAAACAUUGAGCGCACGUGAAGUUCAAGAGCUCUUUAAACCAACAACCAAGACUGAAAGGCAGCAGUCUGGAAUGGAAAGAACACCUUUUCUGAAGAAACAGAAGAGGUGAUUUUGCAGGUUUCUGGCCAGUGUAUGUUUUGAUUUAUAUGACACUAAUGACACUAUUCGGAAUUUAUAUAAUUGUUAAAUUAUAGAUGAAGUGGAGAGGAUCGUAGGAUUAGAGCAGAAAUGUCACCAGUGACUGGGCAUCUUAAUUUUAUUUAACAUGUGGUGUGAUGUAGAGGAUUAAAGAAAGAGGUUUUCCUUCUUCCAUAUGUUCUUUUGUCUGAGCUGCUCCUCUUGCAACGUUAUUGCCAGAUUAAAAAAUAUCUUGCAUAGUUUUGGUCUGCAAAAUCUGGCAUUGAAAGGACAGGAACAGGUAGCCAGGGAUGCCAUUUUCAUGACAUCAUCCUGUAGCUGCCAUGCAUCUUUAACCGAACACUCAAGUCUUAUGGUAGAGAUUGAUCGGCAAUGGUUCAACGAGCAUUUGCUUGAUAAUGUACUGUAGGAAUGAUAUAUAAUUUACAGGGUCCCAUUUUAAUUAAGGUGUCACUUUUUUUUUCUUUUUGAUGUAAAUGCUAAAAACUAAUUUGAGCUUGAUAAAUUCAGUUCUCUGUAAGUGAUUGCAGCAUUUCUCCACAGAGGAUGGUCAUGUCAGGGAACGAUAAGUGGAGUUGGGAGGACAUGAAAUUACUUUCAUCACUAUAGCGAUUUUGCCACCUUUUAUUUAGUUCUUGAAGUUUUAUAACUAUAAAAUGAUUUUAACAAAUUUCUUCGAUUGCAAUUCCUUAAUGCCCAGGUGACAGACAUUUAGACCAUAAAGAUUGGAUCCACAGACUUGAUAAGUAAUAGUUUGAAUUUCUCAGAAAAAGAUAUGGAAAUGAUUUGCUGGAGUCUGAAAAAGGAUGCUUUUGUUCUCUAUCUGACAAAUGUGGCUUAGAGCUUUCAUUUGAUGGUGCAAUGGUGUCUAUGCUGUUUUGAACAUUUUUCUGAAGUUAUGGAUCGGUAUCUAUGAAACCCCACAAAUAUGGGGAAAUGACUUCCCUAUAAGAAGCCAAGCUGAUUCUUGUUUCUUACCUCUUGUAGCUUAUCUUCUCAAGGAUGUUUGGUUCCCCUCCUUGCACAAGCGAAGUCUAAUUGCUCAAUUUAAUCCCUCUCAAAAAUUUAAUUAUACAUGGAUUAUUCAUCAUGCUCCAAGUUUUACCACAUGGAACUGAUAUAUUUUAUAGUAUGCAUGUAGAAAGCCAUGCUCUUUUGAAGAAGAUCAUAAUUUGAAGGGAGUUUUGUCAUGCCCCAGAUCUGGGACAACACGGCCAUGCUAUUGAGAGGUACCAUCCAUGAUAACAUGAAGCCAACAAUUAUAAUUUAUAUAUAAAUCCAUUUAAAAUAAAAAUAUAACAAAAUGAUCUGAAUCCAUCACCUAUUAAAUAAAUAAAUGAGAGCAGGCACAGAGGGACUAAAUCUAAAUAUAAAUACCCAAAAUCCAUACCUCAAAAUUCAGAAAGUCAUCAACUAUAAAUUCAUAGUCAAUUAAAAAUACUAAAAUUCUUCUACAAAAUCGCAAAGCUUGCUUGCACGAAUUCCAAGCCCGGAUGAUCCUUCGCUCCUAGGGAUCCUAUUCGUCUGACAAGAAAGCAAGUAAACUUUUCACUACCUCAACGGAUCAAGUAUAAGUUUUUACAUUUAUCAAUAAAUCAUUUAGAGAAAUAACUACCAUUAAAAGAUAAAACAUUUCACAAUAACAAUAUAAUCAUAAAUCAAUCAUGCUCUUAUAUAUGCAUAAAUCUUGCAAAUUACAUAAAUAUGGUUUCAAUAUAUAAGCUAAAUCAUAAACCAUGCUAACUUCAUAAAGUCAUAAAUCAUUUAUCAUUUUGUCAUAUCAUAAUUCAUAAUAAUUAUCUUAGACUAAACGCUAAAGUCACUAUUAUACUCGUGGCAGGGUUGUAAUCGACAAAAUACCAACUAUUAUUACGCAUUGAUAGUAUCGUAUGCCAACUGCUAUUACUCUCCGAUAGGAUCGUAUGACAACUACUAUUACUCAUUGAAAAGGUCGUAUGCCAACAACCAUUAUCUGCUGGAAGGGGCAUAUACCAACUAUUACUACCCACUGGUAAAGUUAUAUGGAACUAGCUCCGGAUGUUGAUCUACUCCACUUUUAAGAGUCAUACAUAGCUAUCUGAGAACUUUUUGCCGUAUUUUUUUUAAAACAAUUUUUCUUAAAUCAUUUUCUUAACUUAUAUUGUCUUAAAUCAUACAUAAAUAAAUUGCUAAAUGGCUAUAAAGAGUUCAUAGUCCAUAAUUAAACCUUCAAUAGUUGAACAAUCAUGACAUUAUUCUUUUCAUAAUAAAAAUAUAAAUUUCAUAAAUAUACAUUUUGUAUUUUAUAGCAAGUCAUUAAUAUUGAAACAUUCAUGGAACCAUUAUUUCGUAGUAAAUCAUGAGUUUUGCAAUAUCAUAUGCUCGAUCCUUGAUUUUAAGAAAACAUGAUGUAAUCAAUAUUUAAUAUUAUUUUUGCAUUUAAAUCACAAGAAUGGAAAAUAUAUAGAAAUUUGAAAACUAGUAAGGAGUGUUAGAAUUAUUUACAAGUUCGAAAAUUAGUAAGGAGUAUAAGAUUUACUUACCUCUUCUAUUUUAGACAUUCAAACUUCAUUAGGCAAAUCUAUUAAACUUGGUUUUGGUGGUAUUCUCUAGCAUUGAUAUUCGAUGGGCACAAUGCUAGGGAAUGAUAUGUUUGAAGGAAGAAAGAGAAAGAAAGAGAGAGGAGGAGAGGAAGAGGCGCGAUGAUCGCCAAUGGAGGACCAUAAAACGGAGGGGAUCUUAUUAUAGAGGUGAUCUAGGGUUCUAGCGGCUAACGUCUCCUAUUUCUACUAGGAGUCGCCGACUUUGAAGAGUUCUAGUGGCCCUAGAUCUUCUAGUUUUACCAGAAUUCGCCGGCUUCAAACAAGAAAGCAGACUCCUACCAGAAGUCUACUGCAGCUCAUCAUGUAAGACACAUGCACGGGUCCAGCAUUCAGGUCGGGCUAGUCAAGUGGACCGGGGCCGACCAAGCCAUCACAAGUGUUACUUCGAAAGUACGCCCUUGAAUAGGUCCAUAACAUAAAAUCCAAUUAUUGGAAGGGAUAAACAUUAGCUAAGCAGUAGGUGCGAUAGCAAAUAAGUAGGUGCAACGGUGUAACUGAGAAAAAAAAAAUGGCAAACCUGUCGCCCAGAUUAGCAUGAAGGUAGGUUUUCUUGAUAUCUUGCUUGGCAAACUGUUUGUUCAAGUGGGUAAUGUUGACCUCCUCACACAAUGAAGCCAACAGAUGAACAUGGCUUGCAAAGUUGCAAAACAGACAACACUAGAUUUUUGUGCAGUGGAAAAGGUGGAAACUUCAUGGUCAAAAGAUCUAGCGGAAUCCUCCAUGUUUUAUUACAGUUAUUCUCUUCCAUUUUCCCUUCAUAGAUUUUUUAACGGACAUGGAUGCCAUGUUUCAAGGGAGAGCUCAACGAAUUAUCGGCAUGUCCUGCCGUGCUCUCUUCGCCAUGUUCUUGCCCGUGAUAUCCGGCCAGCGCAUGUUUCUCCUCACAUGAUUUUGUCCCUCGACAAACUCCGACAAACCCCACAACAGCGGCAAGCAUAGCUUUUACAAAAUCAGAAUUGAGAAAUAUAAUUAACUCCUUCCGAAGCAUGGCUCUCUGUUCUCUCUAAUUAUAUUGAUACAUGGGAUACAAUUAACUCUCCGAGUCUUCGUCAAUUUGGUAAGAAAUCAUGUAAAUCUUUUAUGGUUAUAUCAAACUGAUUCUUCAAAUCUUCAUUAACUUUGUAAGAAUUCGUAUAAAUCAUCAAUAAGUACGUGACUGCUAUAGCAACUUCAUUUUUUUCUUGUUUAUAUUGAAGAGAUUAUUUUCAUUAUUUUUCUUCUUAGAUGACAUAUGAUUAUAAAUAUAAUGGCAUAAGUGCUCACUGAUUACCAGAGCCCAUUUUCUUAUCAUAAUACCCACAGUUCCAUAAAUUUAAAUAAUAAUAAUAAUUAUUGUCUUGUCUUUUUAAUCAACUGUCUAUAAAUCUUAUAUUUUCAGCUGUAGCAUUCCCUUGCUGUCUUCCCACUCCACAAUUCAUCACCGCCAGGUUGAGAGAAGCUGUUCAUCUUCCAUCGUUUUGGUAGGAGAUCGAAAGUAGAGUGGUCUUGGUUUUCUUAUUGUUCUUUUUUCUUCCUUUGCCAAUCUCUUGACAAAGACUGUCUCCUUAAAUUCUGUUUGCAUUUUUUUUGGGCUUUCUGGUGAGAAGGAAGCUUUAUUUGGUGUUGCAAGCUUCCAGUUAGCAUUUACGUGCAAAACAAGCCAAUGUUUUAUUGUUGAAAAUUUUAAUUUGGUUGGUGGGUUUUGCUCAUAUGGAUCCAGAAAGGUACAUAUGGAGUUUAUUGUGGCUGUUUUGUUUGCGUUAUGAUAUCCUGUACAUUCUGUCUUCGAGUUUUUUGUAUUCAUUGCAGCUCUUUUUUGUGGGUUGCCAGAGAAGGAUGAAGAGAGCUCCUGUUUUCCCUAAGAAUGAGAUCGCUGAUUGCAAUGAGCUUGGUUAUGAUGCUCAGUUGGAUUUCUCAAAGGUACUUCUUUUGACUCUAAACAUUAGCUUGUUUUCCGCUCGUUGUUCUUUGGACAGCUGAAUGCAAGUGCUAGAGUAAGGGGCUUUUAUACUGUGCGUGUUUUCACUUCAGAUGUUGAAGUCCAUUUUUAAUAACUCAAUCAGAAUUCAAUUGAGCAUUCACUUGAAAUCCUAAUAGCAGCACCCAGUUAAUCGGAUUUCGUCGCAUUUGGAUUGGUGGAGACAGGGUGGUAUACUGCGGUUUGAGCUUAAUUGUUGUAUGGACUUUGUUCUGUAGAUUUUGCAAAGUGCAACAUGAUGUCAGUAAAUGCCAAAUUUUCAAUUGAAGAGAAUGCUAGAGGAUUGUAGGUGCAUUCUAGCUUCUCAUUACUUAUGAUUGGGUUAUCCGAAUCUUGUGUCUGGUUUGUGUUUCAUUUUAAUCCGAAAGGUAACAGUAAAGCAAAACUUACUAUAUUCUAGAGAAAUUCUUGAACUGAUUUGGCAUGAGCACUUCUGACUAUGAUUACUCUCCUUCUUUGAUCAGAUUUUAGGAGAAGCAAGAAAGCAUGCAAAUGAUGCGAAAUUCUCAUUGUCACCAUCGAACUCAGAAGAAAAGAAGGUUGAGGUUGAAGCUACAAAGAACAAAAAGUCAUGGAAAAGAUCAUUGUUCUUCUGGUUUAAGCUUGGCAAGAAGAGCUCAAAGCAGAGUGGAACAUUCAAAACCAAUUCCUCAAAUUGCUAUCAUGUUCCAAAUCAUAAACAUGGUCCAGUUUCAGGUCCAUUAUUUGGAAAUGGAGGUAACCUGGCUCUCAUCCAGCGUAGCAUUCGACGAUCGACAUCAGGGCCCCUUGCUCAUUGCUUCACUCCUACAAAAGCUGAAGAGAAUGAAGUACCUUACCUGCGUCUAGCCCAACAAAGUCAUCCUUCUGCUGUUCAGGCUUUUGGACCAAUUUACCUGGUCACAUGAGUGAUGAGAACUUUUUUCCAUGAACAUCCGAAUAUUGGAUCGCCAUUCUUCAGUAAUAAAAUAUAGGGUCAUUUAUUCCCUUUUGGAUAUAGAUUAGAGAGUUGUACAUGGUGUCUUAUUCUUUUUGACAGUUUCCUCAGCAGUUUCAGAUCCAUCUCUUUCAAAAUGGAUUCUGGGACGCAAUCGAUUCGCAUCAACGCUAUAAUCUUGAAAAUAAUGAGUUAUUUUGAACCAUCUAGCUACUUCCAACCAGACCUGCUACUAAAAAUAUAUUUCAUACAUCAGUUAAAAACAACCACAGAUUUGGUAUUCAUAAUCAAGAACAUUCCAACUUGAGACUCAGCAACAAAGUUUCCAAUGGAGUAUGAGGCUUUAGAUAUGCCCUUCAAACUUACUCCUACAUGAAUGUGAUCAUGACAAGGUGCAUCUCCUUUAACUGUGUUAAUUUAUAUCCAUGGGCCUUCCCUCCUUUGUCUGUCAAAAAAGUAGGAAAAAACAAGAAGAAGAUAACAGACAACCGAUGUUAUUAUUAUUAUUAUUUGAAAAAAAAGUUAGGAAAUUCACACUUUUUAUUUGUUUGAUUGUAAAAAUAUGGUGGGCAGACCACAUGUAACAAAUCAAAAUUUCAUCUAAAAAUACUAGCCGGAAGGUAUUAUUUGGAUUUCUUAAUUAUAUAUAAGUAUCCAAGAUCUACCCAAAGAAUAAUAGAUGUUACAUACGUCCGCAUCAAACUAAGGAUUCAAAUCCAAUCACAAUCACCAUGAUAAGCUCAUAGUUAGUUCAAAUAGAUCCGUACUAUAGUGUUUCAUAGUUCAUAUAAGUUAUGGAUUAGAUCCGUUAUAAUACUAUUUAUCAUAAUUUUGGAUGUCAUCCAAAAAAAUUAAUCAUAAAGUAUUAUUUAAAUUUUUUAAUUCUGUAUAUAUAUCUAAAAUCUAUCUAAUAAAUAAUUGAUAUUAAUCUAGUCAGACAUUCUGUACGGAAUAUUACACUACCACCAAGGUUGGAACACUAAACCUUCUGGUGGAGAACGGUGCCAACCAGCUGAGGACUGGUUGGUGGAACAGAGCAAAUAUUAUACAAUUCCCCAAACUUCAUAGCUCAUAAUCAUUGCUCAAAUGCCUAUGGUCUUGAGAUCCACCAACCCCUCCACUCAGCUCUUUCUUUUUUUUUCUUCAUCUCCAACUUCCCCUACCGUACCGAACACUGACAACUAUUUUUUAGUCAGAGAGCUUAUGUACGUGCUAUCCUUAAAUAAUAGAACAGGAGAACCAAACACUUCAAUUGAUUUGGGCUUACCAGAUAUUUAUAUAAAUCACAUUCUGAUAGGUAGCAUCCGUUGAACCACAACAAUUUUUUUUUUUUGGGUACAGCCACGCUUCGCACUUUACACUGCCAUAAAUACAGUCAACAAAAUUUUUAAAAAAAUACUGAUAAAAAUAUUUACUUAAUUUUUUAAAAAAUUAUAAUAAUAUGCAGUAAAGAAGCUAUUCAGACAGCCAUAUUUUUUAUUUUUCGGUAAACAUGGGUAGCCCAAACGAAAUCACAUUUUUUUUCUAAAGAAUCUCAAACUGCAUUAAUACAUAUUAGUGAAGAGAACAAAAGCUCAACAAUUUUCCUCCCAUAAGCUCACCAAGAAGUAACCUCGUAGUCAACGUCGACACGAAGUCUCUUGGUACUUUAAAAGAUAACAAAUGGAAAAUAAUAUUUUCUUGAGCGCAGUGCAAACCGUACACAGGUAGAGGCAACAACCAUACUUUAAAGUGUCCUUUUUUUUCUCUCGCUUUGGAACCAUAUUUUAAAGUGUCUUCGGUAGCAAGUGGGUGCUCGUUGCUGGAUCGGGCCUGUCCCAAGGAUACGAAAUUAUCAUACUUAUCUCCACCUCUGCCCAGGUCUGAUUGAGACUUUUGUUUUCUACUAAUCAUUUCAAGCUAUCGAGUAAUGUAAAUUCAGCAGCACUUCUUCCAACAGAACUGCAGUUUAUUUAAAACUGGUUUAGUUCAUUAAAAAACAACAAAAUAAAUAAAAAAAUAUUCUUCAUAUGACAAUAAAAUUUUUAUAUUUAAAAAAAUCAUAUAAAAUAUAAAAAAUCUAAUUAUCUGUAUUUUUUAAAAAAAUAUUUUUAAAUUUUUAGAUAGGGUCGGACAAGAAAUUUUUUUAUUAAAAGCAUAACACUUAUUUUAUACAAAACUACAUACUCAAUUAAAUAUAAAUUAUUUUGAAAUAUGUUAUCUUUUUAGGCAAUAAAAUAUACAAAAACUAUUUUUUUAGAUAUAAUAUAUUUAUUAACUUUUCAAAAAAAUUAUUUUUUUAGUACCUGCUGAUGCUAAUUAAUACACAGUGCUUCUCAAUCAUCUAAUGCGCCAAAAGGAAGUUGGUAGUUUUUUUUUUUUUUUUGUUGACAAAAAGGUGGCCAACCCACUUCUCACCUAACUUACUGAAAACGCAACGACAUAGGACUCCAAAGCACGCUUACACCACGAGCUUCAGAAAUGGUCACUGUACCAGUCCUCUCAGAGGAGAAAAAAUUUCGUAGGUUCCUCAUCAAAACACAGGGAAGCCAAUCUUGGGGUCAUUUAAGAGGGGAAAGAGAACCGCCGACAUUGAAGCGGGUUUUGCUUGGGACUUCUGACACUAAGAACUGAAAGCAACGGUUACCCAACUGAUACGUUACAGGCAAAGAAAACAGAGAUAAAUACAACCUUUGGAAGCUGCAACAAACCCAAAAUUCCAUAACAUGGGCAAGCAGCCCCAGAAAUCCCGCAAGGAUUUUUUUUGUUGGGGAGAACAAAAAAAUCCUGCAAGGAUUUGAAGGAAGGUGAAAAUUUUUGAACAAGGAAUAAAAGUAAUACUAUCUAGCUUGUUUAGGACAGUAUUUGGUAUUUUUCUUUUGGUCUCGAAAAAAUUUUGGUGCAUGCUGUCGAAAUCACCACUUGUCCUAGAAACUGAUAGGAUGAGAUAAAUUUAUUUUUAUAUUUUCUUACCGUUCUCUUAUCAUGUUGAAAUUGUCACUUGUCCUAAAACUUAAGGUGAUAAAAUGAGAUAAAUUUAUUUAUUUUUUUAUAUUUUUUAUAUAUUUUUACACAUGCGGCCACCGGACAUCUAAGAGACGAAAUGGACGUCUACCCUUUGAAUAAUGGGGGACCAGUUAGAAAAUAAAACUCGUGUCUUAUUGGCUUGCAUUCUCCACCACACGCAUCACGACACUGUUUCUAACCCCAUUCACCGUUUGAGAUACUAACUUCAUUCACCAUUUGUCAGCAGUUGAAGUGUCCAAGUCGUCGUCUGCACAUUAACUCCAAAAAAAGCCCGGAUCCAAUGUACGUUUUGGUUCUUCACGGACAAGACCCAAGACUGGAUCAGAUGCCCGAGGAGGGAAAAGAUCAUCACUAUAGAUUCAUUAAAAAUCUUAUCCUUUUAAUUAGAGAGGAUAGGACUUCCAGCUCAGAGCUACACAAGUGGUCCAACCUGUCUCAGUCUUCAUAUUAGUUUAUUGGAUUUGAUUUAUUACAACAUAAAGAUCAUCAAGCUGAUGCAUUCCUACAAUCAUAUGGAUGCUGCAAGGAAAAUAGUUUUGAGAGUUUCAGGUAAUUAGACAAGUGAGCGAGUGAAAUUAUGGAGAAAAGUAUCAAGUUUGCGUAGGUGGAUGCCUUCUACAUCCUCACAACCUAUUUUCUCAGACAACAACAAAACUAGCUCAUGAUCAGCAAAUAUUUGAAUGGAAACUAUGAGCUGGGUUUAGUCUCUCGCAUUUUGCACAAAUUGUGGAUGAAUGGUGAGUGGAAUCUCAUCUAAGAAUAGUGAUGGAUCUACCCCUAGGAUAUUAUACUUAUCAUGAAAGACCUUAACAAGCUGUAGAUCCCGACAUCAAAGUAUAUGGCUAUUGGAGUGGCACUUGUAUCUCACAGAUCUUCAGGUCAGAAGAAGGCAAGAUAAGGUAGCUGUCGUCAAGACAUCCUCAUAUCUCAAGUUGAUACGCAUCCUUUAUUUAUGAUGUCUCUGGUUGGUCAGUGAGAGACUCUUGUACAAAAACAGAGGACAACUUUCAAAUCUUAAUGAUCUAAAGCUGCAAGUGUAGAAUAAUGCCGCUAUGAGGAAUUUAAACUGAAAAAUUGUAUAGUGACCCCUUAAUCAUAAGGUUAAUAUAUACUUCUCAUGAACUAAAGAUUUCCCUUACAUUUCUCAAAAUACUGUUCAUGUCAUAUGCAGUCUCCAACUCUCUGAUCCAGCAUAAUCUCAUUUCUACUCUCUCAUCCUAAAACUCUAUUCAAUUAAUGCAAAAGAUUGAUUCUCCAAUUGCUCAGUAAAGCUUGAGUUUCGAAGAGCCAAGACUUGAACUGUCAAAGCCACUAUCAUUUAAAAAGAGCUGAAAAAAACAUCCUGCAGCUUUAUCUCGCGAAAAAAAAUAUACAGAUAGUCAAGAAGAAAAUUACCUUUAAAAAUCAAAAUGCUCCAAAACAUUAUUUGCCAUUUUCUUUAUUGAUAUUUUUUUUCCUAAAAAUUGUAUCAACAGAAACAGAAAACUUUCUCCCCCGAAAUUGGGAUCAGGGGUGAUGUACAUGAAUGCUACUUGACUUUAGGCUAGUAUGCCAGGCAAUUUCCUGCCAGAUAGUUUCUUUCUGAAAUUAAUUAAAAUAUUGGAUCUGAAACAAGGUCAAUGGAAGGGUAUCGAGGCACAAAUAGUGCGCAUUUCUUUAUGAUUACUUUCUCAAAUUCAUAACUUUCAGCACCAUCACAUAUCUGAAUUGAAUUUGAAUUUCUACCAAUAAUACAUGUGUAGAGGACAUUUUGGCAGAUUAGCAAUCAAUAUAUCAUUAGCAUUGUUAUAAUCAUGAGAUGACUGCCCACACAUGUUAUAUAGUAUAUAGUAUCUGCCUAAGCUUCUAUGAAAAGAGAUGUGAGAUUGUAAGGAAGUGUAGAUGUUAAUUAGAAAAGCCGGAACUCUCAAAUUAGAAGCCGGUAUGAAAUUUCUCUGCCAUGUGCAUUUCCUUAAAAAAAAAUGAGCCAACAUUGAUAAAUGGAACAAACAGCAUAGAUUUCAGCACCUCUAAUAGCAGAGGGGAAGAUACAAACAAAUUCUGGUUAUAAAGGAGAUGUCUGUGAAUAAGACACAGAAAUCCAAGAAAAUAAACAGAUAAAUAAAACAGUUCAUUCAUAUCCGAGGUGCUAUAAGGAGAAUAUCUGUUUCUACUUUGUAGGUAAUUCUUCUUUGUUUGGAGGCCUAGAAUUACUUAGGGCUCAAAGGAGCCAAUAGCGCGGUAUAAGAGCUAAAUUGUGACCAGAACGUCACCAAAUCAUACUCAUCGAACCACAAAAAGGAGAUAGGACCUGCUUCUUAUCCAGACCAGCCCAAAUGUAGUCCGAAAUUAGAGAAGAAAAGUUUCCAGUCUCAUUCACGGAAUAGCAAAAUCCUUACGUGAUCUUUCUGGGAAGGUUAAGUGAUCUCAGAAUUCAUGAGGAGGAGAGAUAAGGAUUUGGAAACAGCAUUAAACAACAAAUCCAGUUCUAAAAAACACCACGUCUUCGAAUUCUUCUCAAGACUAAAUGCAAGUAUGGAUUUUCUGAGGAAUUUUCAGGUUCAUAGGAAAAUUAAGAAUGCGACAAGCCCAUCAUCAGUCAAGAAAGCAGUAAGUCAUCACUCAUCAGAGACCUCCCAUCUAUAUCAAAACUUAUCUUUUGUGAUUCAAGUAGGACCCCGCAGCCCAUAUGGAAAGCCGCCAUUAGUCAAGAAAGCAAAUGAUCUCGAAUAGAAAUGGCGGACGGCAUCCAAUCUCAUCAGCUAUUCCUGUCUACAUCAACACCAAGAAUCCAUGAUUAGCAUAGGUGAUCUUGGGCAUGGCAAAAUGUUCAAGAUAUUCUGAUCUCCAAGCCCUUUGGAUUUAUUUUAACUUCUAAGGCUCAAAGACCGAAGCAGAACAUCAAUUUUCAAGCAGUGCAAAAUACCACUCCCUCUUAGCUUGUCUACACAGUAUCCAAUCAUAACCACACUGUAAUAUCCUCCAUUCUUUUCUUAAGGAACCCAUCUAAGCAGUGAAUCUGAUUCUCAUAUAAAAUUCGACUGCAUGAACAAUGUUAAACUUAUUCCCCGUGCACUGUCUUUUUGUCUCCCUAUGACAGAGAUAGAGACUUCAAUGCCCUGUUUUGCAGGGACAUAUUGCAAAGUUCAUCUCAAACACGAAGUAGCCAAUGCUGAGAGAAUAGUAAAACAAAUCACACUGCCUCGGGGUAUCUACAAGCACCGUAACCAAGCAAAACAAGUCACUUCCAUGAUACAUCCUUCCAGAUUGAACAAUUCCAAUAGCAAGAAAAAUCAAGACUGUCAUUCUAAUUGCAUCAAUCAACAAUGAUGUAGUGAGUAUUCAAUUCGGAAAAACAGAUACUAAGAACAGUAAUAUGGAUAGCAAAUAUCCUGGCAAACAGAGAAUUCAAUUUAACACUUUGCAAUGAUGGAAUUAAAUGAAUCAAUUCAUAUAUCCAAAAUGCAUUUAAAGAAAAUUCUUUUAGACCCAGCAUUCGUUAUACUCGAGAGCGAAUGACUCUCUAUGGACCAUGAGCUGGAUUUUGAAUUGGAUCUAUGAAAGCUGAUUCCUUUCUGUACAAAUUUUUUGGCAAACCAGCUGCUAACCAUUUACAAGCGACCAUUGCAUCUCAAACACCUGAAAUUCCUAACUUUCCAAGCUUGCUAUCAGUAUUUUGUGCUCCAGAUUUCCUUCCACUCUCCAAUAAUUCUCGAUUGCCGAAAGCAAUUCGUGAAACCAAUUCACGAACUUGUAGAUGUUUUUGGCAUCAGAAGACCCCCAUCUACUGUAACUCCAACUCCUGCUACUCCCUGCUCAAUAUCACCACCUCGGAGGCUGCAAGAAGAACCAAUCCCUCGAUUCCCCUGGCUUAGCAGCCUCCUCAGUGAUCUCAACCUCGCCGAUGUCGGAGACUUGAUGUCAUCCACGGAUAGCCUACUCAACGGCAGUGGCGAAACCGGAGAUUGGUAUCCCUCCAUCGCUCGUCGCGGGACAUCAAUCACCAGCUUCCCCUCAGGCCUUCCUGAUGAAGAGCCCACAGAACUCGAACUCCCUUCGCACGAGCCCGCCGCCGCCGCUGCCGUCGCCGGACCUCCAGUUCUGACCCGAUCCUGGGAUCCCCAGAACAGCACAUUUGUUGGGAAAAUCGGCGACUCCGGCAGUCGCCCGGCCGCCAGCACCGCCUCCACCGGAGAAGCCUCCGCCGUUUCGACGCCAGAAUCCGCAUUCUCCAACGACACCGGGCUGCGGCAGAGCGGGCAGGUGGAGUGGAAGUUUAGCCACAUGUCGAUGCACUCCAAAUGGAAGCCAUGCCUGCAACCGGGCAGCAACCGGGCCUCCUCCCCCUCCGACAGCUCCGAUAGGCAGACGGCGCACUCGAGGCCCUCCUUGAAUUCCUCCGGUCGAAAACCCAAGGAAGGAAGGGCUUUAAUUGCGGCGGGAUCGAGGCCGCGACAGGGGACGCCGUCUUCGUCGGCGACAGCGAGUGGGGCGCGGGGGCGACCGAGGGUGGGGUUGGCGCCCCAGUAGCGCUUGGCGUGGAGGUAGAGGAACAAGGCGAAGAGGAAGGCCAUGAAGAUGACUAUCACCGCAGCCACCAUGAUCGCGGUGGUCAGCACGGCCAUGCUCUUCAUUGGCUGCUCCGGCGGCGACAUCGUCUUAGAAUAAUAUUCAUGCAAUAUCGAAUAUAAGACAAAUAUAAAUUUAUUGAUGUACGUUUGCUUCUUGAUUUAAGGAAUUUUGAAAGAGAUCGUGCAUAUAACUCUGUCUAGAAUCCAAGAGAAUGUUUAGAAAUCUAUAUGGAUUUGCCUUAUGGAGUUAAUGGUUGAGGAAGAGGAAGAGGAAGAGGAAGAAGGGUGUGGAGGAGGAGGGUUUUGUGGGGUUUUAUAGAGGGAGCAGAGUAGUUAAGUGGGGACAAAGGGGGAAGGGGAGAUGGAAUUGGGAUUGGAGGGAGGGGGAGGGAAGGAAGAGGAAGGUGAGCCAACUUGAGAAUUGAGAUGGAGGGUGCCGGUACGGGCGGAAAUGUUUGAAAGUUCCAAGAGUCAAAAGGCUGCUGCGGCUGAGAAGAUGCGGCUUCCCCUGCGGCCUUGCUUUCAAACUGGAUGAGGUUAAGACUGGCUUGCCAGCUCGACGCCGACGGCCGCGCUUCGGAGAGUCUGGAGACAGCUUCGUUGCUUGAAAUCGUCUGGGAGUCUGGGCGGCUGUGGGUUGAUUAGGACUUCCGGCUUGGGUCUGGCCCAGCUGAGAGUCCACAGGUGUGGCCCAACCACAUCAUCUCCGGUCCGGACGAGUCUAGGUAUGUGAGGGCAAUGGUGACGAGGCCGGCGGCGGCGGCCGAGCGAUGGCGGUAAUGAUGGGGGCUGCAGUGGAAAUAAAGGAGAAGACCAAGGAAAAAAAUGUUGUAUUUCGAUACAAUUUUGUUUUCUGAACUUUCCAAAUUUUGGAAAUAACAAUUAUAAGUCUCUGUUUGUAGAUUGAUGCAGAUAUAUAUGUAAAUCAAUCCAAAUCCAGAGCUGUAAUUCAUAAAACAGAAUCUGACCUGAAUGCAAAUUAGUGCACAUGGAUUUGGGCCAAGUUGAGAACUAAACCAAACCAAUCUUAUUGAGCUGGCGUGGAUCUUAUGGGCUCUUUGAAGAGUGUAUAUGGAUUUGGGCCAACUUGGGAACUAACCAAACCAAUCUUAUUGGGCCGGCGUGGAUUGGGUUUUAGAUAAGAUUGGGUCUGUUAGAUCGGGUCAAGUCAAGGUUAAGGGCCAGGUAACUCGGAGUCGAUUUGAUUUGAUCCAUAUAGGCACAUACACGCAAGCUGUUGUUAGAUUGGUGCUAGGUGAAGGGGCCCGGCCCAGCCUAAGCAAAUUUCAGUGCUUAAUAACAGCUCUACGAGUCUAGAUGUUCUUUUACGAAAUUAUCUGUCAACAAAACCUACAAUUUUAUCGUAAAAAACUAGAGUUAAAAAAAAAAAAAGGACCCGAGCCCGGCAUUCAUCCCCAAGUUCGAGCUUGAUCCGUUUAAUAAACUGGCUUAUUUUUCCGGCCCAGCCUAGCCGGUCGGUUAUAAAAUCUUGAUCCAAGCUUGCCCCAAAAACUUUAAGCUUGAGCCAGCCUAGUGGGCUGCUCGGCUCAUGAAGAGGUCUACUUUUUGUGUGCGCGCACAUGUAAAUGAGAUAGAGUAUAAGAAAGGAAAAUUAGAGAAUUUUGUUGAUUCAGAACCGACCCAACUUGCAAAAAAACCGACCCAGCCCAUGAAUUGGCCUACCCUAUUUGUGUGUAAGGGAACCAAAGUAUGAGGAAAAAGAAUGGAACACCAUCAAUUGCGUUGGGUCUAGAAGCUAGUUGGUUCCAAUCAAGGCAUGUCAAGCAAACCAUUGAAUUGGAGGGCAAACCCAAAACUCAUGUAUAAUUGAAUUGAUUUUGGGUUGAUUCAGACCUGACCCAACUUGCAAGAAAACUCACCCAACUUCAUUUAUUAUUAUUACUAUUUUGAUACACAAUUUCAUUUAUUUGAGAUGCAUUUGUGCAACUGAAGGGCUAUCCUGGGUAAAAAUUUUGUUACUAGCACCAAUACAGCAUUACUCUCCCCUUCGCUCGGUGCGCUGAGUACAUACGAGUGGACUCCUGUUCUCAUCUCUGCUCGCGGCGUUAGUUCUCGGUCCGGCUCCAUAAAUUCCAUUCGCCUUUUUUUUCUUUUCUUUUUUAUUUUUUUUUUGGGAAAAACCAGAAGCAUCACGAGUACAAAUACAGCCAAAAAAUUAAAAAAACAGUAGAUCUCGAAAAGUACUAGGCACCACCACCACAUCCAUCCAUAGAUAUAUUUCUGAAUGAUCGAAACAAAAGACGCCACCCAAUCGACAGCUUCAUUGGCCUCACAAAAAAAUGUACUUCAUCUGAAUAACCAGCUCAGCACCGACUAUAGCCUAGAUAUCUCUNNNNNNNNNNNNNNNNNNNNNNNNNNNNNNNNNNNNNNNNNNNNNNNNNNNNNNNNNNNNNNNNNNNNNNNNNNNNNNNNNNNNNNNNNNNNNNNCGGUCAGACUUUUAACCAAAGCGGCCGCAUCAUUUUACCCUCGGAUCAAAAGUUCCUUCGACCCUGUUGCCUUCUUCCCUUUUAUUCUAUUCUGCCGCCAUUUUCUUUCUUUCCCUUCUAUUAUUCCUCAAUCUAUCCAUCGAACCUCUUCCUAUCCCUCCUCACCGAAGAUUAGAUAUCCUAGAUACAGAUAGAUAGUAGAAGUGAGAGAUAGGAGAGAGAGGUGGGACAAAGUAUGCAGCAGCCUACGCAUCCGAUGGCUUCCAUGCCUCCAAUGGCCACCCAGAACAUCACCACCGAACAGAUUCAGAAGGUAACUCCAUUUAUCCCUGCCUCCCAUUUCCAUUUGCCUUCCGCUUUCCUGCACUUCUAUCUUCUUGACUUAUUUCGAAUCCCUUUUUUCGGCGUACGUGCCAGCUUCCGCUAGGGAUUACCGUUUGAUGCGCUCUCUUUGAUUUUGUUUUCCAUUUUUAUGAUCUCAACCAUAUAUUUUUUUCAAAAAUGAGGAUAAAACUAACUAGGGUUCAUGUUUUUAUAUGUAUACCGCGUCGAGUGAUGUCAGUUUUGUUGGGAUUAUAUGCUCGAUUGAGUCAUGGUUGACCAGAGAGGAGGAGGAGGAUGGAGGAUGGUUAUUUAAUCUGUAGAAAAAUGAAUGCUGUACGUACUGGUAACCUACUAGAAAAGGCCAUGAUUCAGGUUUUUCUAUGAAUUGAUGUGGUGAGAUAGGGUUUUAGGCCCUGAAGCCACCUACGAAGUGCACAAGAAAAUCCGGCUUGCAGCCUUUUCAGCCGCAAUCGGGUUACAUGCAGCUGCACUCUAAAAGGAAAAUGUCCAUGUGUAGCUAAUAUUUAUUUGCAAGCGUCAUGCAGUCUGUUCAACUUUGGCAGAAAAAAUAAGCAUUUAAACUGAGAUUAAAAGACCAUAUUCCUCCAUCUGACAAGGAAUCCUGUCGCUGACUCCAUAUUAUGAGCUUUGGUUUUCCGAAUCAUAGAAUAAUUCAUUACCACCAAUCAUGGAUCACUUUCUAAAGCCUUCUUUAAAAUUUAAUCCAGCAUAUGGGAUGAUGGAUUGGUUUCCAUGUUCGUACCGUUAUAUGUUACUUUCCAAAUUCUUGCUGAAAUUUCGAACCCGCUAUGAUUGACUAGUUACCCAUUAUAUUGAAUCAAACCUUUGACACAUCUUAUUACAUUAGCAUAAAGAAAUUUCAAUUUGUCAAUUGUAACUUGAGUUGAUGGCAUGUGACUUUAACUUUCUUGCGAACUAUCCCAUAUCUUGAGAUUACUGACAUUUAAAGGGUCUUUGGGGACGAAAUUGAGCAUCCAGAGUUGAGGUGCUGGUGCGGGCGGUGCUUGCUUUCUUAGAAUGUAGGGGCGGCGCCCCAGUUUCUGUUUUCUUUCUUUGUUUUCGGGGUCCUCCCUGCUAAUCACCAAAAUAGUUAUUCGCUCUAUCAAUAUUGAUUAAUACCAUCUUAAACUUAACUGAUGCCUUAAAAGAUUCAAUUGAAGUAAGGUGAUCUUUUUAUAAAUUUGGACAUGGGAUAUUAGUCCAAGUUUUAUGUUAAGCUUAACCUACAAUACCCUUCAACAGCAACGAUGAACCGAGUAUGGUUCUCCUUCUCUAACCAAAUAAUUGUUUGUAUAGGAACUAACAUUCCUGAAUAUGAGAAUUUGUAUGAAGCUCAAGUGCAGUCCCUGUCUAGGGCAGGGCAGAUCUAGUAUGAUACCAUUUGAAUUUAGCACUAGAGAUAAAUGCAUCUUCCAAAAUUGUUCUUCAUAGUACAUCAAAGAAAUGCCAUUAAAAUCCCUGGCUGUUUAAAACUUCAAUUUCCCUUGCAGUCACCCAAAAAGCAGAUGCGACCGUAGGAUAUGGAUGCAAGGUUUGAGAUAAAAGGACUCUGGGUUUUGCUUUCUAAAUCAGUUUUGGGGUCAGCUCAAGGCAAAGAUACAUCGACAGACCAGAAAAGGGGGAAGAAGAUCAGGUUUUGGAAAAUCUAGGUUAUAUGUGAAAAUUAAUGGUGAUACAUUAUAGCUUGUUUUUCACAAAUUUAUCUGGAGAGGAGCCUAAGUGGAUGAUGUUCAACAUCAACCAUCUCCCACCAUGGCAUAACCUGUGUAUUAUAAUGGAGCUGAACAACACUUUACAAGUUUUAGAGCCUAACAGUGCUGGUUAAAUGUGAUUAAGGUUCCUAAUGUGUGGGAAAAUAGGGUAUAAGAGUGGGAAAGGUUUCUUGGAAGCAUCACAAAGGGAGAAGAAAAUGAAAUGCCAAAAAGGUCGUUCUGUGGACAAAACUUUGCCCAUUCUUCUGUAAUAUCAGAACAGCUGCAGAGUGAGUGAGGCCUGAUUGUUUGACAAUCUAAGUUGAUCAACUAAUUUCUUUUUAUGUCACCACUGCAUUAACUCAUGGAAAACCAUAAUGUCUAAAAGAAACAAGUCAAAAGUAACAAAGAUGCGAUCCAUAUUAAAUAAAAUUUAGCAUUUUGGAACCUUUAUCUAGUUACAUCAAUUGCUUUCACAUUGCAAACCUUGAGCUUAUUUUGGACUUGGGUUGUAGCCAACUAACCCUAGACUUUAUAUAUAGAGACAUGCCCAUGCACGUGUCGGCACACGCAUGGUGCUCAAAAUAUAUUUUUUAUCUUUUUAUGUUUUGAUUAUUGUGGACCAACUCCUUUUCCUUGAUCAAAAGAUACAGUGGCGUUGCUUUUACACCAUUUGCCCACUUAUUGUGCAUGUACCUUUAUUAAGCCAAAAGUAUGUCCUCCAUCAGUUGACUACUUAGAAUGAUUAAAGGUUAAACUCAUUUCCAUUUAGAGUGGAACUUUUGGAUUGCUAUUAUGACAUACAGCCAUUCCCAUGAAGGGAAGGGUCUUUGUUUCAUGUGGUGAUAAAAAUGUUUUAGAGUUAUGGUUUAAGUGACCUUUUGGUCUGUUGCAUGUAUUAAAAUUGCUCGCCCAUUUAUGUAGGACUCAUUGUAAGUUGAAAACUGCUCUGAUCUUCAUUGCACAUCAAGUUAACUUGUCCUCAAGAAUAAAUCAUUCUUGAAGUAAGAGAUAGAUGUAUCUAUAGUGGUAACCUUUACAGAAAAGGAUGGCUAUGCUUUCAUGCUAAUUGCAUUUGAUAAAAUAUCAUGACCUAGUAAUGGAGACUGUUCUUAAGGUAGCCUUCUAUGAAUCUUGGUCAAGAGAAUGGGUGUAAAGUAGUUAAAUUUAUAGGAAAUGCUAUCUAUCCAAGUGCACACAAACUCUUGAGCAGGCUCCUAGAUUGUCAGACCUCAUUUUUAUCUCUUUAUAAAAUUAUCUUUUUAAAAGUUCUCAUAUUUAAGUUUAGAUAGCAUUUUGUUAGAUCCUCCUCCAUGACUUAUCGUCAUUGGCAUAUAAGCAUGUGCAAUGCAUGCUAAAUAUGACAAAGGAGAAAAAUUGUUGAACAAAAAGGAAAGGAAUUAUCAUUAGGAUCUGAUCCUCUAUAUUUUGAUAUUUCUUUUACUUUCUGAAAUAUCUUUUGGAAAUUGUGUUAAUAACUGUGAAGUUUCUCAAUCAAUACAUGAAUAUCUUCACAUACUUUCUGAAAAGAAGUGUCCUGAUGAUGCUAAAAUAAUUAAUGUAGAGAAUGAAGUCAGACAUUAUAAACAGAGGGAAGGAGAGAUUUUUUGUUUCUUCAAAGUAGAUUACUUGGGGGAGUGAUAGAGAUAUAAGAGCAGCCAGAGUCUGAGGGAUGACACUAUUUAUGUUUUAUACAGAAAUAGACAUACUCAAACUUGUCAUGAAUUUAGAUUUUCAUUUCUCAUGACUUUUUUUUCACCAUGGGCAAAGUCAACAUGCCCAAACACCAGAAGUUCUCUUUUAUUAUUGUAAUAUAGAUAAGGAAUGUUCAAAUGUAGUAAUGGAUUGAAUUUCUUGAGGCAUGGUUUGCUGUACUUUGGGAUGUUAAUGACCCAUGUCAGUGUGGGGAUCAGAUCUGGGAUAAAAGAAAGUGGGAAGAAGAAUGAUUUAGAUUGAAGGGGAAUAUAAUAUUCUAAAACUUUUGAGAAAUACCAAGGGCUAAGUUUUAAUGUGGAAGGUUAUUGAGAUAUAUUUUGCUGGUUGGUUGUCUCCAAUACGUGAUAUAACAUAUCAAACUGCACAAUUGGACUAUAGCUGAAGAAAAUAAUUUAGAAGUAUCAUCGAUCAUAGAUUUGUGAGAAAAAGGGCUUGGAAGAGGGGAGGUUUAUUAGAACUGUUGUGGAAAUAGAAAGAGAAAUGUGGAAUGGAUUUAUUUUCAUUUUGGAUAUCUAAAAUUUAACAUCAAAAAUAAAAGGAAAGAAAGUAGAUAUUGGAUUGUUUAUCUCCAAAUUUAUAUACAAUCACCUACAAUUUAUUAAUAAUCUUAGAAGUUCACAGUUUCCUAAAAGAGAAGGUGCUAUCUAUUAAAAAAGAAAAGAAAGUAGACAAAGUACACAAAGAGAAAAGGUGCUAUCUGUAAAUGUUUAUACAAUCAUCACAAAGUAUACUUAGAAAGUAUACUUUAUUAAUAAUCUUAGAAAUUUCACAAUCCCCAACGUCCAUCGCAAGAGGAUUUGGUCACCUCUUCAUUUGUGCUAUUGUUGUUUCAAGGAAUAAGGGCUGGAAUAAAAUGUGAACUCCAGCUUUCACCCCAUUCAUAUUUUUUGGUUUGUGCAACAACUAAAAUCAUGAUUCUUUCUGAAUCACCAUUCACUCAAAUAAAGGACGUGAUUCCACUCUUAAUGGGAGCAAUGGUCAUUCCUAUAGGAAUGAAAAUGAAUGAUAAUUUUAGCACGAACUAUUUACUCGCAUUUGUUGUACAAAGGAAAAUAAAUAUUCGGUAUGAAUCAGUUAGUGGCAUUUUGGUUAUGAAAUGGAAAUGAAAAUUUUAUUAACAUUUGACAUUAAAAAAAUUACUUUAUUAAUAUGAAUUUUGAAUAAUGUAAAGUGACAUCCAUUAUAACAUUAUAAUGAUUGUUAUUUCGAUGUCCAUUAUAGUAAUGGAAGCCUUCAAAGUUCAAAUCAAUAGUGCAAGUUAGGUCUGCUGCUGCAGUGGAAAUAGAGUGUUUCCACUGCACCCUAAUCUUUUCCAAUGCCCUUCUUGAGAUUCGUGCAUCACUGCACAUGCUUUAGGCCCCACAUAUUGAUCUCAAGGAGGGCUGUGAACAAGAUUGGGGUGUGGUGGAAACACUCUAUUUCCACUAUGCAAUGGACCUAAACCACACUGGCAAACAAUUAGGGUGUUUAUUAUUAAAAGUUUGAUGCUAUUCCUUGGUCAAGGAUUUAUUGAAAAAUAAUAUAAACUUAAAUUUAAUUAAAAUUUAAUUAGCUAGAUCAAAUAUUAGAAUUGAAUUGCCGUAUCUUUUCCAUGCAAUCCUUCACUUUUAGAAAUACUUUAGAAAGAGGAUGCGAAUGCGAGCGUGUGGAAGAGGAUACUUUAGAAAUACUUUUAGCAUGGAAAUGCUUAGGAAGCGGUUGUGGGUUUGAGAUUUUAGGAAGAUUCCAAAGUAGGUGUGUCACCCUAGGUAGAAGACUCUAGCUACUAGGAUCCUUCAUUUUGUGCCCAAACAAUGGAAUAAGAACAACCAUGCCAAUUCCUUUGGUUCCAUUCUCAUUCUAUUCUGAUUCCAUGUUGAUUCUGUUUCAUUCUCAUGAACCAAACAUGGUGUUAGAAUGCAAUAGCAAUCUUAGAUAUUAAGAAAAUCAUGACCUCUUGUAUAAGAAAUCAAAUUGGGCAUACUACUAUUACUACCUACAACGAUCCCGGUGGGACAACGGAACGUCCUACCACCCCAAGUGUCAGGAUGGAGCACCAUUUCAAAUGUUUGAAGGAGACGGGAUGGGACAUCCACCAUCCCGACAGUGCAUCCUUUAGCAUGGAAGAGCUGGGACAGCCCCAUCCCAUGGGAUAUUGACCACAUAAAAAGCUAACCUACUUUUGGAUGGCUACCAUCAGCAAAGUUUUCUCUUCCUAUUUGGCUUUUUUCUAUUUGCUCCUUCAUAUUCUUUCUUUUUUUCCUUUUGCAUUCAUCUCCUCUAAAUACUAAAAUAGUUAUUCAGUUCUAGUUGCUGUGACAUGCCUUUAUCAUAUUUGUAAAGAAAAAUCUUAUAUAUGUUUUUUUUUUUGAUCCAAUUAGAAAGGCCUUUAAGAUGUGCUAUUUCAUUAUGCAAUUAAGCAUUUGCUUUAGUUAGAUGGGGAAGAACCAGAUAUCAUAUGAACCAAAAAUGGAGAUGAAAUAGCAUUGAUGAUAUCAGGACCGUUAGAAGCAUUUGGUCAAAUUAUGUUAGUCCUUGAUGUGUGUUUUCUUGAAUUUUUAUGAAAGUGGGUAAGAGAAGUUAGGUAUGAUGGAGGGUAUGACCUCAAAUAAGAAGACUGGUGAAAUAAGAUUCAUAAUUGACUCAAACAGUGGGUUGACACUUGUUGGUUUUGGAUAUGUUUAAUAAAUAUAAGCUCUUUGAUCUGUGUAACAAUGAUGUAUCCUCUGGAUUUGAUUUCUUAUCAUAUUCCAGCAUCCUUCCUUGCAUCAAUAAAUCAUGUUUUCACUUAUGACCUUGGUUUUUACCCUGUAUUUUUAUUGGCAGGCAAUCAGAUCUUUCAUGCACUUAGAUACUUCAUCCUGUUGAUGUUGAUUUAAGGGGGAAAGGAAAAAAAAUUCACCUAAUCCACUAAUGUUUCUUAUUUUGUUGCAGUACUUGGAUGAAAACAAGCAGCUGAUCUUGGCAAUCUUGGAUAAUCAAAAUCUGGGGAAGCUUACAGAAUGUGCUCAGUAAGUGAUCAUUUAACAAAGUUUUACACUUGGGAAUGUUUUUGGACUUCUACCACCCUUUCAUCUGCUUUGUCACACACAAAUACACAAUCUACUCGUGAAGUCUAAAUUUUCAUCGUAUCAUGACCAUAUCUCUAUAUGAUUAUUGACAUCCAAAAUUCCAUUAAACUGAAUCUUACAGAUAACUUGAUAUGUGGGUGUAAGCAUACUUGACAAUGGCGCUAGUUAGAAUGAGAUACAAACAUCAUAGAUAAAGCUGAAAACAGAUUGGGUAUCAGUAUAUCCAUAUCUGUAUUUGUUUUUAGUUGACAAAUACCUAUACAGCUAUGGAUUAAUUAGAUGCUAAAAUUCAUAUCCAUAUAUUUGCUUUAGACGGAUGUAAAUGCGGAUUGGAUACUGACAGUACAGAUAUAAAUUAGACAGUUAAACUUUAUGAACCACCAAAUCAAAAAUAUCAUUGCAUGGAAGGUGAAUGAAGUUGAAGAUAUGUUAAUAUUAUCACUUGUUUUCCUUUUAAAGUUCAUGAUAACAUUAUAAGAUUAAAUAGGAUUGCAAAGCAGAACCCAAUAUGCAGGUAGAUAUGGAUUGGAUGGUUGUCUAUCCAUAUUUGUAUGUGCUUUUCUUUGAGAGGUAUCAUCCAGUCCAUUUUCGCCCCUAAUCACAGAUAAAAAUGUUAUACAUUGUAUCGUUGUUUUGCUGAUUCUAAGGUGAAAGAUGUUGCCUUUGCUAAUGAUUGGAAGUGACGUGAUAGACUAGAAAAUUAACAUGUAAUUCAAUCAAGUUUGUAAUGCUUAUUAACAUUCCUGUUGUCAACCCUUUCUUGAAAAAAUAAUUGUUAUAAUUUUUCAUGAGUUUUAGUAUUAGGUGGCUCAUUAAAACACAUGACUUUUCUAAAUCCGAAGUUCAUUAAAAAAAAUUAACUCAAUUUGCUUUCAUAUGUAUUAUUUCUUCUUUAAGGUAAUACCUUUUUGUUCCUAUUUUAAUUGCUCAACUAUUUUCAAUUCAAUCAUAGUUUAGACUUCAUUUAGGACUCCCCAUUUUUUUGUCUGUGAUACCAAUUAUAGCUAUCUGAGAGGUUUUUUUGGGGAAAAAAUAUUAUAUGGAUCUUAAAUGAGAUGGCAAUAAUUGAACUUAUACUAUGUUUACACUGAUCAUUAAGUUGAGGUUAAAUGAGGAGACAUGAGAAUAAGCUACAAAAGAAAAAGCCAUGUAUUUGAAAUUCUUUUUUUUUAGACAAGUAUUUCUCUAUCAAAUAAACAAUGCAAUUUAUGGUUGAUUGUCUAUUUGGGAGUUAAGCCUAGGAUGUGCAGUCAAUUUUCCUAUGGGAAACAAGUGGUGCUAAAGCCAAUUCAUAAUCUAUCAAUUGUUUAUUGAAGUCUCUGAACUGUACCUUUUCUCUAGUUUGUUUUAGUUGGAGAAAGUAGAUUUGGAACAAUAUAAUGCCACAUAAAGGUUAGACUAAAAUGUUGGAGACAACAAGUUUGGUAGUUGAUACUUGAUAGUGCUUAUAUAUAUACACACUAAAAUGGAGGCUCUACUUGUGUAGAGCUCUCCAUUCACCACGCGGACAGCUAUAUUAACAAUGUUAUUAAUAGAGUUCUUUAUAAAUAUUAUUUAUCAGGGCUCUUGUUUAAUACAGUUCUUUAUCUGAUUACACUAAGAAGAAACUGAAUAGCUUAUUAAACCAUAUUAAAUAAAGAACUUUUCAUUAGUACUACUAAGUUAAUGCUAAAAGUAAUGAUAUUAUUAAUAACCUCAUUUUGCUUAAUGUAUGUUGAUAUUAAUGAAAACACUUUUCAUUGGUACUGUACCUUGCCAAUAUCCUAUGCAUUACACUAAUAUUUUAUUAAUUUCUAUUGCACUUUUAUGAUCAUGAUCUUGCUUAAAAGUCAAAAAUACAAUCACUAACGAUCCCGCUAUAUUGUAUUUAAAUAUCCUCUAGGUGCAAUACUUUUCUAUUUCUUAUUAUAUGCAAAUUGGAUAAUGAUCUUAUUAUUUUAUAGUGAUGUAUUAGUUUACUAUAUUGAUAGAUAUACGUAUACUACUAGAAUUUUGUGCAGUGAUAGUAUAUCACAAUUAUUAAUAUCAAAAAACUUAGAAAAUAAUUAGGCUCUUCUAUCUAUUAUAUUCUAUGUUAUUUCUGUUAUCUAUUCUAUUAUAUCUAAUUUAUAUUAUGUUUCACUAACAGCUGCAAAAAGGAGAAAAAACUGCACCCCGUGCAUCAGUCGGGUUAUAUGCUAGUUUAAGCUCUAAAACAGAACUUCUGAAAACACAAGGUUAAGGCGUAUAUUAUGGUGGGUGAAUCUUAACAGAUGUGACAAUAAUUGUGUCACUAGAGAAUGGAAAGCUAUUGUUCUCGUACGGCAUGGAACAAUGGAGCAGGACAGCAUUAGACCAGCAAGACAGCUCAAGGAUUUGGCAAAUCCUGGGUUGAUUGCUGGACCAAACAAGGUCUACUAAAUCCUUUCACAAGUAACUUCUUUUGAGUUGAGUGAUCAUUAUGCUUGCUAUUUUUCACAGAAUAGUUAAUACCAAUAGUUACAAUUUGAUGUUUGGUAACAAUUAGCCAGAUUCAAGGACUCAACUUCAGGAGAAAUGGUGAAGAUUCAUGGAAGUCUGACAACAAAUCAAAUAAUUAUAAGAAAAGAAAAUUAAAGAAUAAGAUAGCUGAUAUAUUAGUUCGUGUGGAUACAAGCAUGGAAAGUAAAAAAUAUGAACUUCAACAAAGACAAUGUUAGCAGUAGUAACAUAGCAUCUUCAUUCCGUAACUUAAAUGUUUCUUAAAUUAGUUUUAAAUAACGUGAAUAAAUCUAGAAUUCAUGAACAAUCAACUAAUAUUUGAAAUUGAGAUAUAACUAAGGUUCACCAACUUGGUACUCCCCCCGUACUGAGUCUCGGUUCAGUGCUGGUGUGCGGACGUUGGAGAUAACCGAAGAAAUUUAACUAAUGUCUUGGUUUCAAUAUAUAAGAAUAUCGCUUGUCUAAGUAUUUUGUAGGAGGGGAUGGCUGAGGUAGAGGCUGCAGAGUGAGUGGAGAUGCUGGCUCCUCUGGUUGUUGAAGUAUGCUCAACAUGGCUGAGAAACUAUCCGCGAUGGGUUGUGCCACCCCCACUCAGUAGUAGUUUUUGGCAUACUGACCUAGUUCUUGUUAAUCUUAUCUUCUUUUCACUGGAUUAGUUGAUUGGACAACAAACCUGAUCCAAGUUAUUUAUGACAAGGGUAAACUCCAUGUAUUAUUGUCGCCUAAAAAAUUUCCAUGAGCAAUAAUGUUGUUUUAGGCUUUCUCAAAUCAGGAAUUUUAGGCUUUCUUGAAUCAGGAAUUCUGUUAGAAAUACUUGUCUGAUUCUUGGAAGUUCCUAAUUUUAAUAACAUCAGGUAGUAGACUCUUCAGAUAUGGAUUUCUUGAAGGGGCCAAAGUCCUAACUAGGAUAUCUUGAUAGGAAACCUCCAAUUAGUUCUGCAAAUUAAUUGGGUCAACCCAUGACACAGUCUGGUCUAGGUUGGAGUCUGUAAAAUGACCUAUUUGAAAAAUCAGGUUGGAUUUGGGUCAUAUGUUUUCGUAUCAGACUGUUCCUGUGUACUAAUGAGGUCUAAAAUGGGUCAAAUACUAGAUGACCUGAGCUGACCCUGCCUGGCCAGAUCCAACUAAACCCCAAAAUUCAUCACUUUAAAAUCCCUAAACCCUCUACUGAUCAUCCAAUUGCCCAUAAUUAGGUUUGUAGAUUGGAUGUGAAAGCUAUUUAUUUGUAUGUUGAAUGGCAUGCAUUGUUUUUUUCUUAUCUUGCAUUAGACCAAACUAGAUUAGACGUGACCUAGCCUGAAUGACCCAGAGGGUCUAGAAACUUGUUCAUUAACCCAACCGAACCAAGCCUUGUUACUUAAUGUGUUGAGGAUGGGUCUAAAAUCAUCACCCAAAAAAACAUAGUUGGGGCUGGGGUUGUUUGAGACCUGGUCAUGUUUGCCCCAGUCCUGUCUGGCCUGGUUGCAGGCCUACCUCCAACUGUGGUGCAAAACAUUUUAUUUGCAACAUGGAAACUUCAUUUUUCUUUGAAUUAAAUGAGACGUGUGCCUUAAUCUUGUAAACUACCAUCUGACUACCAUAGGUAUUGGUUCCACUUUGACUGGUCUAACAAGGUUAAGUAAAAUAUACCAACACCAUCUAGUCGGAUUCAAUCCAGACAUCGGAAAUUCUAUCGUUUAGAGCCAGAUCAAGGCCUUGUUGGACAGGAAGAAGCUUCACCAUCUAAAUAUGUUGCAUACAUCAACACUUUGAGAAGGCCCUCAUUUUUUCUCACUAAAUCAAUCCCGGCACCAGCAUGGCAUCUUCAUUUCACUGCAAAAGUUUGCUACCAUGUUGCAUCCAGUUGUCUAGGAGUCCCUGUGUGGUUCUUCUAUGUCUUGAGCACCUUAUUUUCGAAAGGGCACAUCCUUUAUAGUUCCAUCUAAUUUAGCCUUGUAUUUGUUUUAUGCAUAUAAUAUCUCUAACUACUACCUUUAUUAUGAUUAGGCUCCUGCUAAGUUUUGAUUACAUAGUGUUCCUGAGAAGACUGGGAAAAUUUACAAUGUGACAUGUCUCUGCCUCACUUUUACAGUGAUGAUUCUCGCAAGAUAUCAUGUGCAACAGUCUUCUUAUCCAGGCAUCUGAAUCAACUAGGAGUGUUGUUUUUGGUCGAUAUAGAUACCACGAAUUCAACUUAUUUAUAGAGAAUGUUCUAUCGAGAGGCUAUUGCAAGUUUAUUUUCCCUUUUCCUUCAAUCUCUUAAUGUAAUUGUGAAUAUGAUGAUCUGUGUCAUGGGUCAGGUACCAAGCCCAGCUUCAAAAGAAUCUGCUGUAUCUGGCUGCAAUUGCAGAUGCCCAACCACAGGCACCUGCAGCUCGUCCGCAGGUUAGUUACGAAUCAUGUUGGAGUAUAAUAUUGUUUUCUGGUUCACAUUUAUCCACUCAUAUAUUUUUCUGCUGGUAGACGAUGCCACAUGGUGCAAUGCCGCAGGGGGCCCAUUACAUGCAGCAGGGGCCCAUGUUUCCUCCCAGGGCUCCUUUGCAAUUCAAUCCCCAGCAAAUGCAGGAACAGCAGCAACAACAGCAGCUUCACCACCAACCACAAGUGCUGCCUUUUCCAGGCCAUAUGGGCAUGAGACCUGGGGCCAUCAAUGGCAUGCAUGCUGACCCAUCUCAUGGAGGCAGUGCUGACCUCCGGCCAGCUCCGAACUUGGCUGAGUUCCCACAUGGCAGCAGCACUCCUACUGGCUCCAUAGAUGGGCGAGGAAGCAAGCAAGAUGCAGGUGGUGCAGUGUCUGAACCCGCCACUGGUGCUGAUGACCAUAGGAACUCAGGGAGAGAGAGAAGCAGGGAUGGCGAACCAAACAUAUCUGAGAAGGCCUGAAGAUGUUAAAGAUACCAUGAGCUUGGAGCUCUGGAAUGAUAACUUUGACAAACACCGCAUAUAUAACUAAAUGACCAAUGUUAUGGCAAUCUUUUCUGCCUCUUCUGAUAAAUCGUCAUACCUCCAUGCAUGACUAGUGUUACUGGUUUUGAACCUUCAGUAGUCCAUGAUGAUCCUUUUGAGUUUCCUUCAUAUGCACUUGAAUGUUGUCAUGAUGAAUACCUGUGAUUAUAUACAUUCUCUACUUUUGUUUGCGAGUUGCUAAUUGUUCUACCAAAGUAACAGGUAUUGAAGUUGCCUUGCAAGGGGUUGUACCUCUUUUAUUUCUUGUGGGGAUGCAGGUGAGCAAAGUAGUCUAUGGCAGUUGACCCCGUGCAGACGGUCAUGGCUGUACGUUCGGAUUGCCAGGUUAAGUUGGACAGGCAUUAUCUAGUAAUUCUGAUCUUGGAUGAACACCGCUGCUAAGCUCCUGUGACUAUUUUAAGUUUUCUAGGGAAGGUAUAAGCGAGUGAAUCUUAUGGUAUUCUGUGGGAUGCGUGGGGCAAAACUUCAAAGAUGAAGUCACUGUCAGCGAUAGCUGUGAAUGCCUAAUUAACGAAGACAUAUAAACGUGGAAGGACUUGCCGACUUGGUGUAGUAUAUGGUCUGGUGGCAUUUGUGACUUGAGUGAAGAAUGAAGGCGAUCAUACUUUCUCUCCUCUGUUUGUAGUUUAGAUCAAUUUCAAUGUAAUGGAAUCAUAAUCUAAAGGGUUGAGAUUCUCUUGUAGCUUUGCUGAGGAUGAAAUUUCAUAAUUUUUUGGAGUUGUCCUUGGAUUUCCUAAUGAGUUUGCCCUAAGUGUAUAUUGAUGGAGUGUGCCCUUGUUGUGAGGUGUCGCAGAUUCGAGCUCCGGUUCCUUUUUUUUGUAAUUAUUACUGAACAUUACAAUUGUAGUGCCACCAAUCUUUUUAACAAACCAAUAAAAAUUAUCCAAGCCAAAUCAUCCAAAUCAUUGGGGGAGAACCUCCUUGGACACGUACAUAUGUUCUCUCUCCAUUGUAAGGAAAAUGUAACACUAGGCUACAACGAUCUUUGUUCGAGUCUUCAGUCCAUGUACUUUGAUUUGCUGUAACCCAAAAGUGCUUAUGUGCAGAUUCCAAUUCAAAGGUCUUGUGUUGGAGACACAAGAUUGGAAAUGGCAGCUGAGAGCAAAAAGGGCAGUGCUAGCUUCGCUCAGAAAUCUGACUAAUAUUUACUCAAACUAAUAACACUUGUGUCAAGUGUCGAUCUCACUGACUGAUAUAAAGUGGAGGAGGUCAGGUGAUGGGAAUAAGCCAACAUUGACUCGAUCGCUUCCCAUCAUAAUUUUACGAGGCAUGGUCCUUGGACUGAAGCUGCAGACCCUUCCAUCUACGACGCAGUCAGCAUUUCAGGUUAAGGAAAAUGAGAAAGGUUUUGGGGAGUUGUAGCCCUAUGGAUGGGGCAGCGUAUUUUGAUCUUUUAAAUGUUAAGACUGAUACUCGGUAAUUCUGCUCCUCUUUAACCUCUUCAUAGUACUACAGCAGGUGCAUGCCCCAUAGAACGUGGCAGUAGGAGACAUAUAUGAUAUGUUCAAUCUGUUAGGUUUCUAACAUAUAUGAAAGCAAAAAUAAGAUGGAAUGCUCCACCAACUCUCAUUUACCUACUCUCAUUUAUGUUUUAACUAAUGAUGCUUAAUGUGUAAUCAAAGAAAAAUUGAAGUUCUUUUUUGAUGCCACCAAUGUUUUUCUCGUGUUUAGAGUUUAGACCCUCCCCAAGCAAAGACCCAAAAGGGGUUGGUUUGUUGGCUUGAUAUGACACAUAAGCUGCUAAUUUGUUCUCUCUGGACUGUUCAAUCAACCGAACCUUCAAUGGAUUGGUCAAGGCUAUAUUUGAUUCUUGCCAAACCUCCAGAUCUUUGUAGUUGGUGGAACAUUUUGAUGUACCUGCGUUAGUUGUCAGCUGCCUGAAGAUGAUGUCCCCAUUUUCUCAAUUAGUUUGGCCGGAAUGUCCCAGGUUUUUUUAUCUCAAAGUCUCCCUCAUUGUGCUAAAACUUUUCUUGAAGUCAGGACUUUAGGAUUUGGUGAAAUGCCAGUAAUUCUGAUUUUGAAAUUUGGAUACCUGCUGCAUUAAUAUAUCUUAAUAUUAGAGAUUUAAGCAACACUCAAUAGUUUUAUUGUCAUUUCAUUAUAAUGAUAAUUACAAUGAGAAACGGCAUUUAUCUGAACUUUACACUGUUUAUCAAAUUAUAUACCUGCUGUCUAGGAUUUAAAAUCUCCAUGCCAGUUAAAAGUAGGUAUGCAUGUUGAAUAGUAAUAGUUUAUAAAAUCCAUAUUUGUUGAUGAAUUUUCCAUUAGGUGAUUUAUGCCAGUAGGAUUCAAAAUGACAGUUUUUGGCAUAUGACUUUACUUCAUGACUGAGGACAAGCACAGUGGGACAAUGGAAGCCUUGGACUUCAUGUACACUCAAUUCUGUCUGAAUGUUUGAUUGGAGCAAAGAGUAAGGUGGGUUUCUCUUGUCUUCUUGGGUGGACUUAGAUCAUUCAUGUUACUUUACAUAAUAACUAUCUUCAUUUCAAAAUAGUGAUUAUAUUGUCAAUCUUGAGCUGCUACCUUGCUGCAUGAGCUCAACUAAUAUGUCCCACUUGGGACCGUGUGAAACUAAUGUGCGAGAAACCUCUCUAUUAAGCAACUCCCCAUAACUUAGAAGCUAAAAGAAAAUAAUAUAAUCUUGCACAUCAACAGAUAGAACUUAAAAGAAGCACGUAAUGAAAUCUUAUCGACCCAGCUCCCUCAUUCAUUUAAACUUCCUUUUGAUUUUGUACUAUUUACAUGGAUUUUCAAUAAAAUUUUGGUGCAUUGCUCUAUAUCAAUAUCAAACUAUUGAUAUUGGCAUCAGUUGGAUGAAAUCUAUUCGGAAUUCUUAUAACAAGAGUCGAGACAUCGUACGUUAGAAUCAAACAGAGACAUGCUGCUCCCAAAGGUGAACAGUUGCUGCAAUUCCUUACACAUGAUUACAAGCUAUAUUCCGAAUGGUGGACACGCAUGCUCAUCUUUUAUUGUGGAAUGGCAAAGGGAAAAGUUGGCUCCCAGCAUUUAGACAUUGCCGUCCAUCUCACGUGUGAGCAGUACCCAUGUCAUGCAUGUUGCAUACAGCACAAGCAUUAGACUACAAUACAUCAAUUGUACCUCAUCCUUCACCUCAUUCUUUGGGAUCCAUUUGUAUAUCAACGCAUGCACAUGAUUUGAUCAUAUACAUGCACAUGCAUCUGGAUGCGCGACGGAUCUUUCUUGAGGGUAAUUUGGCUAUAGUGAUCGAUUGGAUCCAAAGUGGACAUGCCAGGACAGAUUUGCACCAUCUAGUCAGUGAUAUUUACUAUUUUCUAGAGGAGUCUGAUUCCUUCAGCGUCAUGUGUGUAUUUUGGAAGGCGAAUAGUGCGGCGAACGGGGUCGUUUCCUUCGCAGCACAUCAUUUUGGAGCCGUCACAUGGAGGACAUUGGAGCUUGUGCCAUUGGCACAAGAGCAUAUUUUGUACGGUAACUAUUCCGAGCGUACUUACGGCUGUAUGUAGUGAGACACUGAUACACCAAAAAAGAAAAAACCAAUCUAAUAAUCAUCCAUGCGAACUUCACCUCAUUCUUUGGGAACCAUUUGUAUAUCAACACAUGCAUAUGUUUGAUCAUUUACACGUACAUUACGAGAGCCAUGAAACCGAUCUAAUCAUCAUCCAUGCAAACUGCGCCAGUGCAACUUACUCGAAAUGCAAUUUAGACACCAUGCAAGCAUCCUGAUUAUCAAAUGUGUGUCAAUUGAUACAUGCAAGCAUCCUAAAAUGUUGUGUUUCAUUCCAAAAGAAAGUAACCAAAUUUUUUGAGGAUCAUCAUCUACUAAAUACAAUUAGAUAAAUUCCUAGAUGACACGAGUGCACCACAGCCAACUAUAGCCGCUGGUUCCUGUAUUAAGUAUCCAACUAAUCACAGCAUGAAUCUUAUUUAUCAAAUACAUAUAUGGGUGUAUCAUUAUAUGAAUCAGCGGUUAUGAUUGGCUGCUUACCAUGUGGUGCAGGUCUAAUCUAAGAAAUAUAAUAUAGCCGAGAAUAUCAUGCACUAAUGAUGGGGCCCAGGAUCAUGAUAUAUUGGACGACACGCAUGAUGCGGGUCGGUGGGGCGGUAGCCGCACCGAGCGGCGAUGGGAUCUUAACCUUUUUAUUCUGUUGAGAGGAUUCUGGGCCGUAGAAGGGAACGGCACGGGGGACAGAAGGAUCGGAAAACGUCGCACGUAGCCCGUUGCUCCCCAGCUGUACGGUGACGUGGCACGCGGCAAUGUGGGCCCCAGGGAUGGAUGACGCCCGUCACGUCGCAGUGGGUAGAGAGAAGGCGAAAUUGUUGAUUGAAAGAGAUAUAACAACUAACUCUUUUAACAAAUAAAUAAGACGCUCGCUAUGUUCCAUCAUAAUUGAAGAUUCGAUAUUUAUGUUUUUAGAAAACCAACGUGUCGUUAUAUGAGAGAGCAAGGACUUUAGACAACAUGCAUACUGCUAUGAGUACUCAAUAUAGAAAUAGAUUAAUAUCCAGUAGUAACAUCCAAUAAUUACAGUACAAUUGGCAUGCUGCAUCUUUGAUAUUGGAUGAAGAAAAAAAAACUCUUCAAUAAUAUAUCAUUUUUUCAUCUCUUAAUUAGGUAGCAGGAUCAUUAUCUUUUUCAUGUACACAUUUAAGUAAUUAUUUUUGAAGUAUUAGCCUUCAAGUAUCAUUGAAGCAAACAUCUCUUUCUAUUAUCAUUGCGGCUUAGCAAUACCAACAAUGGAAAACUACCAUUUUAGCUGACUUGUAUCAUUUGUUCUCUAUGACAACAAAUAUAAAAAAUUUAGAUUUUUCAUUUAAAAAGGUAACAUAUCAAGUAUGGUGGUCUUUUGGUGUUGUUAGGAAGAUAUGAUUGUCCAAAUAUAUGUUAAUGUAGUUAUAGUGGAAAUAAAGAGUCUAAACUUAGUCCCACAUUGACUAGAUAGUGGAGAGGUUUGAUCCUUAAAUGGAGGGGAGCAACCACUUUUUUUUUCAGAGGAGCCUUUUGUAGGGCAAAACCGUGCGUUGAGAAGAGACUAUGAAACUUCCUUCAAAACGGACAAUACCUCUGAGAAGAAUCAGUCGCCUCCGCUGUCUGAGACCGAUAGAAACGAGGUCGGAAGGCGGCAGAUCCUUCCAUAGUGCUGGAUACAUGGGUCGGAGCCCGACCUUCCAUAAGCUCAUCAGUAGUAUUACUACAUUUCAACAAAAAGAAUAAAACAAUUUCGAUGCGUUGGAAGAGGUCAGCUAUCAGCGGAUUAUACCCGCAUCUCAAUCACCUUCCCAUUGAUGUCCAUGACGGGCGCAAAAUUGGACCAAGCCGAACUCACACGCCACGUAUAAAAAAAAAUCUCAAACGGCUUCUUACGUGCCGAAAAUUCUGAACCUGGCCCCGGCUCACGGUAGCCACCAGCUAAUGGGUUGGCCUCCAUCCGCGCAACAAAUCCCUGUAUCUCGAUCCAACGGCCGCGACUGCCUCUACCCGCACAACGGAUCUUUACACAAUCCAACGGCCUUGAUUCUCUCUCUUUUUUUUCCCCCCUCGACCGGUAAAUCCCGUGACUCCCCGUGAGUAAUUAAGUAUUAACGGUGCUUGCCCUCUAAUCUAUCCCUUUCUCAGCUCGCUCCUCCCCUCUCCCCCCACUAAGCUCUCAUUAAGACUUUUUUAAAGAAGAAAACCUCGAGAUUUUUUUUUUGAAAAAAUUAAAAUAUGACGACGAUGUGAGCCUGGCUUCUGGUGGGAUUCUCUCCUCUCUCUCGCCCCUUUUAAUGCCAGCUAGCUUCCAUACUGCCCUCGGGGAAAUAAUAACAGUCUAAACUCUAAAGAGAACCCUAUCAGCUGAGUCUAAAAAGAAGGAAGAAGGGAAGAAAGGAAGAAAAGGGUGAGAGGUUAGAUUCUGGCCCCAAGGAGGGAAGAGGGAAUGUCGAAGGAGAGAGAUAGAGAGAAGGGGAUGGUGGGGAUUUGGCUUCUUUUGGUCUGCAUUUGGAUCUGGAAUGCGAGCUUUGUCAAUGGCGAUACGAAGUCAGAUGAUGGUGAGCUCAGCUUUGGAUUCUUAGCAGCGUUUUUGCUCUCUUUUCGGUGGGUUUCUUUACUAGAUCAGAGGGGAAAGGAGGGGUUCUGCAAUGGGUGGGAGCACGCGGGAGGGCACCAAAUUGUGCUGUUCUCGUGUCGAAUCUGUUCUCUUUUUGGAUGGGUGUUGUUUUUUUUUUUUCGCUUUAGAGGGUCGAAAAGGUAUGUUUUUGAUUCGUUUUUGUAACUCCUUUUGGGUGUCUUUUGAGCUGCGGAGUGGGCGUUUUGGUUGGAUUCGGAGAACAAUCUCUCUCUCUUUUUUUUAAAAAAAAACUUUCGCUGGAGGUUUUGGCUUUUGAGUUUUUGUUGGAUUUGAAGGAAAAAUUUGUUUUACCCAAGAAUGAGUUGGUUUCUUAACGAAAAUAGAUCUCUUUGGAUCCUACUAUCUGUUCGUGGCAAACAAGCCAGUGACUUCCGUGUCAUUAUACUUCAGCUUUUUUACUGACCUGUCCUGCUUUUGGGUCUGGGAGGAGUCGGUUGGAUGAUUUGAUGAUUUAUUUUUCCAAUCUAAAAAGCAAAGAGAAAAAAGAGAUUUAGUUGCUUGUUUCUUACAUUCUAGUACUUUUUCCGGUUUGAUUAUAAUUAUUUGAUAAAUUUAUAUUCUGAUCUGAUCUCUUACCAGAACAAAGUAUAGGUUCAUGAAUCUGACAGACUUAUGCUUGAACUGACUUCAUCCAUGGGGCGUUGGUAUGAUAUUUAAGCCUUGACUAUAUUGAUACGUUUCUCUAAUCUCAUGUUUUCUUUGCAGUUUCUGCUCUCAAUGUCCUGUAUAGCAGCCUAAAUUCGCCAAGCCAGCUGACAGGUUGGACCUCAAAUGCUGGUGAUCCCUGUGGACAGUCAUGGUUGGGUGUUACAUGCUCUGGUCAAGCGGUUACAACAAUGUGAGGUUACAUUAUUAUGAGUUGUCUGAACCUUAAGCGCUGUGCAUUGCUUUGAUGCUUUAUCUGAUAUGUUUUUUAUAUUAUGAGCUCCACCAGCAAACUGUCUGGCUUGGGACUUUCUGGUUCUUUGGGGUACCAGAUGUCAGGCAUGACUUCGCUAACAGAGCUGUGAGUCCUGUAGUUCUUUCAGUGAUGCAUAUACUCCAGGAUAUGCAUGGAAACUGAUGUUGGAAUUUGAUGUCCUGAGAUUGAUGCAGUGACAUGAGCAAUAAUAAUCUUGGAGGUGGACAACAGAUACCUUAUAAUCUUCCUCCAAACCUCGAGAAACUGUAAGUUGUACUAAUUUGGUUGGUCUCAGCUAUUUGCUUGAUUUCAUAGCCACUGUCUCAUGAGAAAUUUGAUCUGCAGAAAUCUUGCUGGAAAUCAGUUCACUGGAAAUGUACCUUAUUCUAUUUCUCAAAUGAUUCCACUAAAAUAUCUGUAAGUGGGCUUGCAAAUAUAAUUAUUUCAUUUUCUCUUGCAAAUUAUAUGGUGCGUUUGCCUAAACGAAGCGUUAAUAUCUGUAGAAAUCUUAGCCAUAAUCAACUCCAGGGCAAUCUGAGUGACAUGUUUGGACAGCUUACAAAUCUCACCACAAUGUGAGUGUGAAUUGAGCACUCUCUAUUUUAAUGGAACUCAUAACUCUUUUUGAAUUUCAGUGUACUUGCUGUAGUACAAAAGGUGCUAUCAUAAUUUGUGGUUGAGGAAAGGCCAAUUUUCUUGGACAAUCAUCUUUGACACAAUUGAGGAUACACGCACCAAAUUUUGCCACCCAUUUCCACAUUCUUAACUGGAUUAUGAAUCAUGAAAGUUUGUUCUGAAUAUAUUUACUAGGAGGCAUGCUAUCCUAUAUAAUGCUAGCUUUUUGUAACUUACUAGGAGGCAUGCUAUCCUACAUACUGAUAAUUGAAUAUCUUUACUUUUGAAUAUGCAAAUGCUAGUUUCGCCCCUCAUCUACUUAUCCUUUUUCUCCUUGUUUUUCCUUCCUUGAUUAAUAAGUUAAUGACUUUAUGGUGCAGGGACCUCUCCUCCAAUGCUCUUACAGGUGACCUGCCACAGAGUUUUAGCUCCCUAUCAAGUUUGACUACCUUGUAAGGAGAAUAGCACAAAGUUCGCGGGUUAUUUUGAUAUUUAGCACCACAUUUCACAAAAACUUACUUCCACCAUUUAUUUCCCAUCCUGCAGACACUUGCAAAACAACCAGUUUACAGGUUCCAUAGAUGUCCUUGCCAGUCUCCCUCUUAAUGAUUUGUACGUAAAUAAUGUUGUGCACAGUAAAAGAAAAAAGUUUGUGUAUUAUAAAGAACAGAACUUAUGUGCCCAUGCUUCCAGGAAUGUUGCAAAUAAUCGCUUCACUGGAUGGAUUCCUGACAAGCUAAGGGGGAUAAACAAUCUUCAGUGAGUACUUGGUGGACCCUGAUGACAUCAAUAAUCUGAUAGUGAUAAUAAUUGUUAUGUUUGGAACUCACCCGCUAAUCAUUUUUUCACAGGACUGGUGGUAACUCAUGGAGCUCAGGGCCUGCACCUCCACCCCCACCAUAUACACCUCCUCCUCCAAGUCGACGAAGCAACCCUGGUCAGCGAUCUGGUGACAGUAGCAGCCCAUCAGGUGGCGGUGGAAAAAGUUCUGGUAUAGGUGCUGGGGGCAUAGCUGGAAUCAUUAUAUCUAUUUUUGUCAUAGGUGGAAUUAUUGCAUUUUUCUUGAUAAGAAAAAGAACACAAAGGUCUUCAAGGAAAGAAAUCCUCGAACAAGAUCAGCCUUUCACACCUCUUGCUCCAAAAGAGGUUAGAGGUAAUUUUUGUUUUUCUUGCCCUCCUCAAAGUUCAGAUAUGCUAGGCUAAGCCAUCUAUUAGUAUGCAUAUGUGUAUUUUCUUGACUAUUGAAUUUAGACCAACAUAUAAUGAGUCUCUUAGUCACCAUAUCUUGACUCAUUCUCCUCAUUAUGCAUAUGGGUCUGAUACAAUACUAUGUAAUCAAUAUUUUAAUUAGGUAACCACUCAAAUGAGUCUUGAAAUAGCUGUAGGGCAGAAUUACAAACAAAAAAAUCUUUUUAAAUUGCAAAUUUCGCAAUGAGAUAUUUUAUGUGACCCGGUUCAUCGUAUAUUAAAUUAGACUUCUUACCCAUAUUCAAUGGGAUUUUUCGUUCUAAAAUAAAAAAAAGUGCAAUAAUUAAUGUUGUUACCAAAGCAAUGCGGCGUAGGAUUUGGCAAGGUUGUAAUGGUUUUAUGACCAUUUUUUAGUUUUCUCGAGGAAUCGUGACUGUUGACUUUUUGAUGCUUCAUUUUGUUUUCUAAGCUCACAGCUUCAAUAUCUGUCCGAGACCUUUGUUAUGUUAGUGGUUCUGUUGUCAGGUCAUUCGUCUUAUGCAUAUCUUCUAGAUGCAGCUAGGCUUGCAAUUGCAUACCUCAAGAUUUCCUAUUGUGUAUGUCACAAAUUGUUGAUUCUGUUAUCAGUUUAAUACAAACGAGUAUCCUUUUGGAUUUAUCCUAUGAGUGUACUGAUUUGAAGGGAUCAAACUUAUUGACCACUAUUUCUGUGUAUUCCUUUUCUUAAAACUUUUGUGGAUGUCAAGGUGGAAUUUUGUAUCUUGGCCUAUGGAAAAAUAUUGGUUGUAGGUUACCAGGUAUCAUCCUUGGAUUAUAAUGUGGUUGUUUAAUUUUCAUCCACACCUUAAAACUCUGAUACAUCUUUUAUGCAUGUUCACCUUCUUGUAGGUUAUUGCAUGUAUUUGGUGUUAUUUGUGGGAUUCCUUUUUUAAAUCCAUCAAAUUUAGAUGCUAGGAUAUAACACAAGAUGGCAUGACACUCUUUUGCACUCCAAUAGUAUCUUGACUAGCUUGAACUCUCGAAAUUUUGAUAGUUGGCAUAAACUUUUUAUCUGUAAAUAAGCCUCAAGCCUUAACAUCACAUAAUAUCUUAUGAAGAAAAUUUUUAGGUUUUCAUGUCUCCAUAAACACAAAAAGAUUCAUCAGUCACUUAAAAAGUCUAUACCUAUUUUUUUCUCCGAACCUAGACAAUUAAAAUGUUACAACCAGUCACUUUAUUAUUUGCCACUUUAUUAUUUUCCUAUGUACAUUUUGCACAAGCCCAUCAUUGAAUUGCAGUAGAAGCCAACGUAUUUGGAGCAUGGUAUGUUGUACCAUACUGAAUUAGUACGGUACGGUAUCUGAAGCAUGGUACGCCGUACCGGCCCAAAUUGGACGGUACAGGGCAUACCGUACCGUACUAGUUCGGUACUGAUAUCCGCUAUGGGUGGCGUACCGACGCUUGGUACUCCAAAAAAAAUUUGUAUUGUAUCAUACCAUAUCGACAUUGUGCUAGUGUGGCACCGGUACGGAGUCCUAUACCGAGAUGGCGAAUCUUGAUCUGAAGUAUUGCUAAUGAGAGUUAUUGCCUUGAUUUUGCUCUGUAUCAUAUGAGCAGUGCCCACAGUUUAACUCUAUCAUGGUUCUGGUUCUGCUUACCUAUAAUAGGUCUUCUUUUAUUCCUCCAUGUAUUGUUUAUAAUUCUGCUUCUAGCUGAUCUGCUGUCCUUCUGCUAUUGCAAAUGUUGAUAGUUCUUCCUUAUUUUUUGCUAUUCCCUUAUAGCUUGAAGGUCAUUGUGGUUCCAUGGUCUGUCUGUAAUUUAGCCUAGACCAUCCUUGACCUGGGGGUGUUUUUGUCCUUUCAUUUUGCCUUAUCAAUCAUUUAGUGUCUAUCCUUCAUUUGUCAAGCUCCAAAAAGUCUGCCUAUUUCCAGUAAAUUCUUCUGAAAAAUCUUCUGAGCCUUGCCCAUUCUUCCUGGAACUUUUCGUUCCUCCCCCUUCAUAUAGAUUACACGGUAAAUCUUAUUAUCACUAUUUAAUCUCCUGAUUUUUCCCCUCAUAACUGAUCUGCUUGAUCAGUCCAAAGUCCAAACUUAAGUUAUUUUGAAUCUGCCUCUGUACUUGAGUGGAUACAAAGGGGAAAUAUUUGAUGUCUUUUGGUAUAUACUUCUGUCACAAAGCCCAAGAGAUAUUCUUUGUCAGCAGUUGAUUAGCUGUUGUGUGCCUACCUCCAGAGGAAAUGUCCAACCUAGGACCAUGCUGUGUUGUUCAAGUUUAUUGGUUUUACCCAUGUUUAAUUCAAACCCAACAAGACAACAAUACUCAUUUCUUCUUUACUAAUGCCUCUGGUGAGCAUGAUCAUCCUCUUUAUGGCACAAUCUCUUAUAACACCAUUUCCUUGUAAACUGUCUUAUCCAAAUACUCUUUUUUUUUUUCAAUUAGUGGUCACACCAUUCUGCUUAGCAACCAGAGGUUCUGGGCUUGAGUCUUGGUUGGUGCACCCUACAUAUUUGGACUUGGGUGAUUAUGAUGUGGAUUGGACUUCCUCUCUCUCUCUCUCUCUUGCUCUCGCUCAAAAAAAAAGAGCAAAAUUUCCUUCUCAUUGCUCCAUUCUGUUUAUCAAAUUAUUCAUGUAUUGUACUCCCUCACUCUUAAGUUAUUAAGGCAUGUCAAUGACUAUCAACCUUGGCAUUUGUGUUAAGUUUAAUUUGUAUAACUUCUCCAGCAGUCCAUUGGAUUCACUUACACCACUUAGGAGUUGUCAGGUAAGAAUAUAAUCUUGCUGCUUUUGGAGGUGAUAAUGUUCCAACAUGUCCAUACUUGUUGUAAAAUGCCCUGCUUCCAUGACUAUUCCUCUUGAUGUGUAUGCCCUGUCGCAUGGUCUGAAUUUUUAUAAAGUAGCUCCAAAAUUCUUAGGACCUGCUACCUACUCUUAGUGGAUAUGAUGUAUUUGUUGAUCUCUUUGAGUUUUCAAGUAAAAAAUAAACUCUCUUUCAUCAGAAAUUUAUCUUCUUUUGGGACUGUGGGUGGUCAGAGCAUCAAGAGGCUAAACCUACAGGACAUAUCAAAUGAGGGUUUUCUUCCUACCUCUGCAGGCUAUCCUGGUUCUCCUUCACAUUUAAUUUUUUCGAAUUAUAAAGUUGCAAGCCCUGCAUCUUAUUCUCCUUGCAAUAACUGGUUUGCCGAAUAUCUUCAUAUCUUGCAGGUUUAUACAAGCCCCUUUGUCGCUGAAACUGAUGCAAAUCUGAUGAAAUCCUAUUGCUAGACUUAUGUAAAUUACCUUCUUGAGCUAUUUAGACCUUUCAGCUGUCCUUAUUUUCAAACAUUGCACCAUGCAAGCUUGGUAUUUGUCAGGCAAUAGUUGGUACACAUUUUGUUGUUGGUGCAAGUGAUGAUACCUGAAUUAUCUGCCUUGGGUGGUCGUUGAUUUUCUUUCAUAGUUUUUUCCAGUUUUAAAUUCAAGAAUGAAGUUUCAUUGAGUAAUCACAUUGUCAAGUACUCAAGAUGUUCAUAUUCACUUGUAUACUUGAGGAUUAUUUAUUUUGUUGGUCGAUAUAUUACUUUUUUCCCCUUAAAUGUUAGCUUUGUCAUUGGAAAAUUGCUACUUUCGCCAAACGCCUGGGCGACACUAAAUGCAUUUGAACAAUGCAAGCUAAGCUGUGAGCCACCAAAGUCUCUGAACUAUUUAGAAAUUAUGUUGUUCCAUAGCAUGUUGUCAUAUUUGAAACAUUCACAAACAUGCAAAAUCAUGAUAGGAUAGCUAUUAAAUUGUCUUGCUUGGAAUAAGAUGCUAAUUAAUUUGCUUAAUAAUUUCUUCAAAUUGCACCAUUAAUUGUGUCAUUCCUGACAUUCUAUAUGUUUUAUUUUAUAUGAUUGAUUGUUUAUCUGCAGAGAUGAAAUCUAUCCAAACAUCCUCUGCAAUUGAUGCAGCAACAUUUCCAUCAUCUGCUCCAAUUAGCCUUAAACCUCCUCCUAUUGAUCGACACAAAUCAUUUGAUGAAGAUGAUUUCUCGAACAAGCCUGUUGUGAAGAAAGCAAAUACAGCACCCAUAAAAGCAACUGUGUAUUCAGUGGCUGAUCUGCAGAUGGCUACUGAUAGUUUUAGCAUAGAAAAUCUUAUUGGUGAGGGGUCUUUUGGACGUGUUUAUAGGGCACAAUUCAGCGAUGGAAAGGUAUGUUUUUCACUUGAAUUUUAUGCUUCCUUCUGUGCCCCAUUUGUGAGAAGAUCUUUUCUUUAGUUUGUCCUCGUGAAUUUUAAGUUUUUUAUCUUGAAAAAUAAGUUGUGCACAUGUUUAAUAUGAAGCCUGUGUUUCCAUGAUCAUGAAACGCACAUUUUAUUGAAAGUCAAAAGAAAUAAUGUUCUUUUAGGAUUUUUUUCAUUUAAAUUAAAUCAUACUAACAUGAAAUGUAGCUUGUAGCUGGAAGCAUGAAAUUCUAUUGUAUGGCUGCAAAUGGGGCAGAAUGUGAUUGAAGCAAUGCCCCAAAGCAGUGUAAACUAGAACUCACUCCCCAAAGAGUAUAAUGGAGAUAAAAGAAAUAGAAAAGGCUUACACUGGUAAUGAAGGGCUAGGAUGUGUUCUUACUAGGGUCUAUGAUGUUUUAUAAUGAAAAUGGAGUGGAAACAUCAUGAUGAGUUGGCUUUUCUGGUUUUUUGAGAAUGAGCACUGUGAACUAUCCGCUUCAAAAAGGAUAGUGGAUUGAACCGAAACAAACGUUAAGUAAAGUUAGCUGUUCAACUUUUUUUUGUACCAAAAAACUGUUCAACUUUCUUGAUAGGUAAAAUUUCUAAUUUAAAACUUCAAUAACUGGUGGAAAAAGCAUCAUGGCUUACACGAGAGAAGAGAUGUAUAGGUAAAAAAAUUUCUGGUUAUAUACAAGAAAUCACUUCUUCAAAAUUCUCUUUAGCAAGCUGCCAUUGUCUUGCUAGCGCGAUGAACCAUGUGGUUCGCAAUUUCAUAUUAAGUACCUAGAUGCAUCGUAUUUGUUCUCAUUGAGGAUAAAUAAUAAUUUCUGUUGUCAUUUACAUAAUGAUUUUUCUUUAUAGGUUUUGGCUGUGAAAAAAAUAAAUUCUUCAGCCUUGCCAAACCAAUCAGCUGGAGACUUCAUUGAGCUGGUCUCCAAUAUCUCACGGUUACAUCAUCCAAAUUUGACUGAGCUGGUGGGAUACUGUUCUGAACAUGGACAGUACUUGCUGGUUUAUGAGUUUCACAAGAAUGGAUCGCUGCAUGAUCUCCUUCACCUCUCGGAUGAAUACAGCAAACCAUUGUCUUGGAGUACCAGGGUCAAGAUUGCACUCGGUGCCGCACGGGCAUUAGAGUAAGUGAGAUAUUAUUCUAGAAAUUGUCUUUGAUUUUCUUUUGCCAGAACCUGAAAAAUUGUCAGCAGUAAAUUAUGAUAUAAUCCUGCAACAUAUCAGCUAUUUCAUCGUGCAGUUAAAAGAGGUUUGCUUCCAAAUGUUAAAGAAAAAGUAUUUUCUAGGUUUUCAUUUACAUUUAUAUAGUAGCAUGGCAACACUUUCGUAUGAUCAGUAAAUAUGACAGUGUUUCUUCUCUUCGUUAAAUCAUUUAUAGCCUAUGACUUCAUCAUCUCACAAUUUUGAAAUCGAACACCCAUUUUAAGGGUUCACAAAUGUUUAGCCUUUCUGGAAGAUUGUACAUUUUCUGGAUGCUUAUAGUCCCUAGUAAGUUAUUUACCUUCUAUCUUGGACUAUUUGCCUAGCGUAGUUUCUUUAGGAUUUAUUAAACCUUUGAUAUGAUUAACACCUAAACCUUUGUUCUGGAGUGCUGCUUCGCUGCACCACUUAUUUCCCCGCUCUGUGCACCAGUCCCUGGUGAGAGUCAGGGAUUGAUGUGGAGCAUGGUAUCACGUGNGUGAUAGGCGGGCCCCGUAUACCUGCCCACCAAUCACCACUUGCAGGGACUGGAGCAGGGAAAUUUGUGGUGCAGUGAAGCUUUUUCCUUUGUUCUGAUGGCAAUAUGUUGUAAGCACACCCACCAAUCCAUUUGAUAUCCAUUUCAGUUUUCAAGCAAGCAUGGCUUGUCAUAAAAUAGAGUUGAUAGAUAACAAGUUUUAUAAGCUUUAGCAUAUUGUUGUAACUUGUAAGUAUAUUAUUUGGAUUUUGGGGAAAAAUGCAAUAUUUCUUUAAUGGGAUUCUGAUUGAUACUGCAUGUAUCUGAAUUGAUGCAAUGAUGUUUCUUGUAGAAUUUGACUCUGGAGCGUCAAUCAUGUUUUGAUGGUUCCACAUGAUGUUUGCAAGAAAUGUUUUCUAGCAGUAAUGAUACUUUCAAAAACUCUAUAGUUCAUAUAUUUUGCACUAGCUUUAUUGAUUUGAGGAUUAUUUGUGAAAAAUCAUGAAAUUUCUAAAAUAUGCCAAAAUUCACGGCAGAUCAGUCACAACAUGAAGUAUCUACAAAUUGUUGAUGGAUCGAUAUUAUUAUAGUUGAUUUGGCUAAUGUUCCUUGUUGUUGCCCUUUCUUAGCUCUUUUUUCCUGCAUGAAUUGUAGCAUUUAGAAAUAUCUACCUCUUUCCUCUUUUUUGUUUUUGAUUUAUCGGCAACUUCUGAAGCUUGGUGAAUAUUCUUCCUUCUAUUCAAAGUUCUAAUUUCCCUCAAUACCAAACUUAUGGUGUUCUAUAUUCAUUUUACUACCUGCAAAUAUUACUAUCAGGUAUCUGCAUGAGGUUUGUUCUCCAUCUGUUGUCCAUAAAAAUUUCAAGUCAUCAAAUAUUUUGUUGGACACGGAGCUCAAUCCUCACCUUUCAGAUUGUGGGCUCGCAAACCUCAUCCCUGAUGCGGAAUUUCAGGUAAAGAUCAGAUUCACAACACAUCCACAAGUGGAACAUAGAACCUUUUACUCUGCACUUAUUUUUGUUAGUUUCAGUAUAAUUAGAGUGCUGAUGUUCCUUCAAUCUUUUAUCCUUUCGAUGGGUAAAGUAUUUAGAAGGGAACAGAAAUGGAUGUUGAGUACUAAAACAUUAUUCUGUCUAAUAGCAUUUUGCCAGUUGUAUAUAUAUGAGAGAGAGAGAGAGAGAACAAUUUAACAGGUAUAUUUCUGAUCAGAAGGAAAUAGGGAAGAUUCAUGGUGGCUAAAACUAUUUGAUUUAUAAUGAGGUCAGGAUCAUAAGGAUUGCCAUAGGAGGGCUUAAAAUUGGAUGUUAGAAACACUUUGUUUUGGAAGAGAAGAUGCCAAGUUUUGAAUAUUAAGAGGGGAAGGGAGGGGAAGAAGGGUGGAAAUGGAUAUUCUUUGUUCAUUUUCUUUCUUUUAUCAACCUACACCCUGAAAGGGCAUGGUAGAUGAAAGUAAAAGUUUAAGCUACAGAGAUAAUCUGUCUGGUAUUUAUUAUUUUCUUUUUCUUUUUUUGCCUGCAUCAGCAUUUUUAUUGAAGGACAUGGUUCAGCCAAGCCUGGGUGAGCGAGGCCCUACUUGAGAUCUGCUUGAAAUUUGAAAUUUCACAGUGCUAACUAACUGGUACUUGAUUAGAGUUAUGAACCCAAAGACUAACUUCCAACUUGACUCUAUUAAUUUUGGGUAGAACCUGAGCUGUACAUGAAUGGUUCAUUCGAGGAAUCUAGGAGAGCCUAAGCCAACAGUUAGAGAGAAGAAUGAGAGAAGUUGGGAUUGGUAGGAGAAGACGAGUUCCGGUUGAUGCCAAUGGAGUCAGGUGGUGAUCUGUUGUUAAUUAGUAUGGCUUAAGUUUGGGAAGAGGAGACAUGCCAGGGAGCUGUUGGGUUAGGAUUUGAAGGACUGACGAGAGAAGGACAGGAUCAGGAUUCUUGAUGACUCUGAAGUCUGAAGGUUUGCCACCCGGGGGGUAGGAGAUGAGUUGGGUAGUGCGGGAAGCCGGAGAAAGCCUACUAAGGUCUAAGCUGGAACACAUUGUUAGCUCGGUUAAGGUAGAGAGUAAAGUGGGGAUAGAGAUGCUAACAUUCAUUUGUAUUUAUAGAUUGUUUGUCCAAGUGAUUAAUCAUUGGAUGCUAACAUUCAUAUGUAUUUAUAGUUUUAUAGUUACAAUACCGAUGUAUCCCUGGGUUCAAAUUUUUGAAGGUUACCAUAUUGGGUUAUUCAGACACCAGGAUUUUGCAUGUUUAAGCUGCUUUUUGAGAUAAUUAUGAUUUUGCUUGCAAUGAGCAGCAUCAUUUGCCCGACUUACCAUCGCCUAAUUUUGGUCAAUAUUGCAUUGAUCUUUUAUGAAGUUUUUCCUAUAUUUUUUAUUUAAAUUUUGCAGGCAUCAGAUCAGAACAUGAGUUCUGGAUACGGUGCCCCUGAGGUUGCCAUGUCUGGCCAGUAUACUCUGAAGAGUGAUGUUUACAGUUUUGGAGUGGUCAUGCUGGAGCUUUUGACCGGACGGAUGCCUUUUGACAGGUAAAUCUUAAUCUGCUACUAGUCAUGAUCCAAGUACAACUGGAAUUGGGGGAUUUUGUCGUAUUAUGUCUUGAUUGCUGAAACAUUUCUACAGCUCUAGAUCGCGAACUGAGCAGUCAUUGGUUCGAUGGGCAACCCCUCAGCUCCAUGACAUUGAUGCAUUGGACAGGAUGGUUGAUCCGGCCCUCAAGGGGCUAUACCCUGCAAAAUCACUCUCUCGAUUUGCUGAUGUGAUUGCGCUCUGUGUUCAGGUAAAUGGAGUUGAUAGAAUCAAAAAAAAAUCCAUCUAGUUUGUUAUGGCUGAAAAAUUCACUAGAUUUACUAGGGUGAUCAUAAGGCAUGCAACUAAGCACCAAUUCCACACCAUUUCAAAACAUUUCUCCAUGUGGUGAAUUUUAAAGGAAACCAGCGUAUCUGUAGAUGAUAUUCUCAUACUUUACCCCAAUGAAGUUUAUUAAUUUCUUACAUUUCGAAAUUGGAUUUUGACAGCCUGAGCCGGAGUUCAGACCACCGAUGUCAGAAGUUGUGCAGGCUUUAGUUCGUUUGGUGCAGAGAGCCAACAUGAGCAAGAGAAUGCUCGGUGGGGACAUGCAGGAGACUGCUCGACGAUCUGAUGAUCCAGACACGCAGGACUAUUUAUGAGGUGGGAGUUAGCUAGUAAGGUUGUGUCGAAUCUCCCAGAUGGUGUGGCAUAAUUGUAUUUCCAUGUAUCGAUACGCAUUUUUUUUCUUUCGCUGUGUUAUGGAAUAUUAUGGCUAAGAAACCCCACGUUUUAGAUGUCACGUGCUUUUCUUUUAUAUGGGGGAGUGGCCUAAUACAUAUCAACUUUUUGUUCCAAGCAGAAUUCUUCAGGUGGUACUGUGAAUAAGCAAAUGGUGUUUCUUAUCAGAGUUCUAUUCAAGUCCGUUUUUAUUUUUUAGUAAAAAGAAACUUAAACUAAUGUUCAGAAGAAAAGAUUUCAUUGAUAGAUGGUAGACAAAUGAAACGGCAGCAGAAACCAUUGAAUCCAAUNNNNNNNNNNNNNNNNNNNNNNNNNNNNNNNNNNNNNNNNNNNNNNNNNNNNNNNNNNNNNNNNNNNNNNNNNNNNNNNNNNNNNNNNNNNNNNNNNNNNNNNNNNNNNNNNNNNNNNNNNNNNNNNNNNNNNNNNNNNNUUAGUUGUUUUGAUUCACUGUCAAUUCAGUGUGAAUGGCAUGGAACCGCAUCAUUCAGUCUGAUGAAUUACCUGGUAUUAGUUCCCCUAUCAUUGUUCAGCUGAUCACUUGCUUCCCCAAGUGCAGAAUUAGUUGGUUCAAACCGGGAAAGAUUUCUCAAAAAUUCGUCAUGAGUUUAUUGAAUUUGCCCAAAAAAAAUAACAAAAUAAAAGAAAUCAUGACUUUGUCGAAGACUUUAAAUACCUCUCAGAGCAAAAAAUAUAUGGAGAAAUUAAUUGCUCGGGAACACAAUCCACCAGCCAAUGGACUGGCCAAGAAGGAACUUUCACUGCCACAGUGGAACCAGGCAAGGAGAGGUGUUAAAACCUGAUCCAACCUAAGCUUGCUUUCUAAUCUCUACUGGCAUAAUAUAAACUCGAACUUCCAUCAUAAUGCGAAUGGAAGUAAGAUUGGACUGCCAAGUGACUCCACUUUUUGAAUAUUUCAUAACCAUGCAAUGAUGCAAAGUCAUGCUUCUUCAGAGUGAGUUCUCAUUGUUGCAAGGCUCCUGUCAAUGUCCCAGCGCUAUCCAGCUUUCCUGCGAAAGCAGGUACCAGCGACCCAAACAUAGUCCUUUAACCAUCAUAUUUUGGAAAUCUUUCCCAUUUGCUGCCGCAUGCACGUCUAAAUAAUACUUGUUUAAUUGAACUCCAUCUGUUUCAAACUUGUAAUUGAUGAUUGCAGAUGCAGGCACAUAUCAAAGACCAAUGUCUUCAAUAAAAUAGAUGGCAUGUUCAAAGUACAUUAUUUCAGGAUUCUACUGCCACAACUCAAAUAUCUAAAUAUCUCCUUCAUCUACUGUGAAGGGCCAUAAUUCAUUCAGUACAGAUUACAGGGCAUGCAUGCUGCAGCAAGGAUCAGCUAGUUGUGGACCACAUACAUUGGAGUAGCACUAGAAUUUCUCGUAGCCUUUGAUGACCUAAUUCACCGCAUCAAGAAAGUCUUUUUCUGUAACAGAAUAACGGUUCUCUUUUUAUGUAUGCACUAAAAGAGAGCUGGAUUUUCAAGUUUUAUAAUAGCAGAAAACUGUUUAAUAGGAUAGAGAUUACAAUCAUCUAUACUACUUUACGUAUCCAAUGUGGUUACAUUUUUAAUCAGAUAACAGUAAACUGUAGAGAAAUCUUCCUUCCUUAGGAUGGGCUUAUAUCAAUAAUAUCUUAUUUCCUUUUAACCGUGUUCCUAAUCCUUGUGUGCCACAGCCCAAUCACGUUGGCCCACUAAUCCACAAUUCCCUUUGUCAUGAUACGCGUUCUACAGUCUUUACAAAGUGAACUAGCCAGGAACAGAGGGCUUUGCAGCAAAAAUAAAAUAAUAAUAACAGCUCUGAUAAAUAAAUAUAUACCGACUUUAAGGGAGAUAAUUUAGGAAGAAUUCAUGAGAAAAAGCCAGCAUACAAAUGAAAGAGACUAAUAACUGUCAGACCCUUCAGCAAAGACAGGUUCCAAGACAAAAAGAAGAGAACAGAAAGCAUUGAACCACUAUUCAGAGAACACCGGUCUUCUUUGUUUUCCAUCGCCCUUCUCUAGGUCCGUAUCCUCCAAACUUUGUUCGGGGCGUGCAGCUCCACAAUCAUGGCACGCAUCUCCAGUUAUCACCCUCCCGAAGUUUCAUGAAACAAAAUAUUACUGCAAACACAAGGUAUUGCUGUCAAGAUGUAAACUGAAACAAAAUUUAAGGAUCUCAUUCUCUAUUUGCUGUCAAGAUGCAUGCCUCAUCCAAUCGAUAAGAAGAUGACUACCGCCUUCGACGAUUCCUUCUAGACUCUGGGAAUUGAAGAGGAACAGGAAGAGUCAUGAAAGCUUGUUGAAAAGCAGCGUCCUGAAAGAGCUUACAGCCCAAUUGCAGAUAGUAUGGUUUUAGAGAGUGGACAGUCAUCUUCAAGUCCCUUGCAAUAUCAGAUGGAUCACUGUGGAACUUGUCCACAAAAAGUGUGAGUACCAAUAUGUAACCAAUGAGAAGUUCUUUUUUCUCCAUAGAUACCAAGUCUGAGUCUGGAUUUACAAACAUCCUCAAUAACUUUUGAUAUAUAAUGCGUGGGAUCUUGGGACCACCUGCAGUCAUGCCAACAAAUCUGGCCUUAUGUUUAGAAAAUCUUAUUCGUCCCCAGAAAGCAUGAAGAUGAGUUAUGUAUGACAAGAUGCAUGCAAGUUUCUCCUUUUCUUUGUCAUCCUGCACAGGAAGUUAAAAGAUAAGUUUUUCCCAAAGAAGACAGGUUUUCUGAAAUAAUAUGAAAAUGACAACUAAAAAGAAAGCAGGGAGAAAGAAGCAAAAAAGAUGUCUUCCACAAUUCUUAUACUUUUGGACAGCAGAGAAGAAUAAGAUCACAUGCUAUUCACAACCUUCCCAUAAUUCCAAAGGAACAUAACCAGUUUCAUACAUGCAAAUCCAGAUUUUCAUCCUACUCUACUAUCGCUUCAAUUUGCAGACACACAGUGAAUGUCCAUCAGACAACAUGGGCGUUUGAAUUUGCUUUGUGGAAAAAUUCAACAUUAAAAAGAGCAUUAACAAAUAGAAUUAUAACAACCAGUUCUUGCAAACUACCAAAAAUAGGAAGCUAAUUAGAUUUCCAACCUAACUUGCAGGCUACACUAAAUAACACGAUAUUUAGGACUUCAAAUCAACUUCUAUAAGAAAGAAGCAAGUGAAAUUUUUUAAUUCCUCCACAGGUCCUUUUCACACAACAUAAGAUAUGAUUAUAUCUCUUCUCCCAAAAAUUUCCUGAGGAAGUUUAACUCGGUCGAUAAGCUUAAAAACAAAGUGCUCCAUAUAUCACAAUCAAAAGAGAAUCGCCUUUAAACUUUCAAUAUCUUUUACUCAUUUCACCAGGAUGAAUUGCUUUUACCUUCAAGUAAGAUGAAGAGGAGCUAUUGCCUUAUCUAGACUGAAAAUUUAUUUAGCAGCCAUAUUUUGGGCCAAUUUGAGAAGAAUGGACAAAUGUUCUAGGCCUUAACAAGGGUGCUAAACUUGCUUCUUGCAAAUUUCAUUCAAGUGACUAACAAUUAUUUUAAAUUACAUGGCAGAAAAGCACUAGUAAUAAUUCUAUGGUCAAACUUGCAGUGUCAUGGUUUCCUGCCAUGAGGAAGAAGUAUGUCCUUUUAAUCCAUAGAUAUGAGAAAUCUGUCCAGUUUAAAAAUAGAUGAUAUUUCUCUAGAUUUGACAUGAUAAUAUUCUUUUUCAUGAGUAGAAGUUAAAUCUAGUCAUUCAUUCUCAAGAAUUAGAAGCACUCCACAGCAAUUUCCCUGCAGCUUCAUUUUUCUCCCAAAACAUAUACCUGAUCACCGAGAAACCUCCUCCAAUGCAGUCCAUAGGUAGUGGGACCCCACAAGACAAAGGCAUCAAUGCCAACAAUCAAGAAGAAAAAGAGACAGAGAAGUGCAAUGUCCAUCAAACAGUCUCCAAUGAUAUUUUGAAUGUGUAUUCAGGAUGCAGCUAACCAAGGUCCCAUGGUGAAGAAAAAUUACCAACAUCUAUAACAAUUGAGUUGAGAAUGCCCUUAAUAUUCAUUUUAUCCAUAAUGAAAUUUGUACAUUAUAAACUAUGGGUCUGUUUGGCAUCAUUGUCGUUUUUAUAUUUUUGUUUCUCUACUAGUUAGUUAAAUAUUGCAUGGUAAUUAAUGCUGGAGACUGCUUUUGCCAAGAACUACUGCCAUUCCUUGCUUUUAUUUUCACUCUUUUUUUGAAAGCAAUGAAUCUUUGCUUCAAAAACUCCAAAAAAUUUACAAACAAUUUCAAAAAGCAAAAUGGUCUCAUUAUACAUGCUUGGCCUAGUUCUUUUUUCCUCUUAGAUUUUUGAAAAUAAAAGCACCACACUGCCCUAAUUGUUCUAGUGGAAUUUCCUAUGAAAAUGUAUUAAUUUAUACUGAACCAUUUUUGAGUAUCAUAAAUGCUAAUAUGAUCACUUAAAACCAGUGUUGGAUGGAUAUGGAUACGAGAAUUGGAUUCAUACAUGUGUCCAAGAGUUUAGCUCGGCCAAAGAGAAAAAAAGAAGAUACAAGGAUACAUGAAACAAUAAUUUUAAAUAUUAUAUAAAAGAAAAAUUAGAAGAUACUUUUGGUUAAGGGCUUUCACAUUCUCAACAUCUUAAGAAAAAGGAUAUUUUGCAAAGUUAUUUCAACAUCUACCCCCUUGACCAAUCUCCAGAAAAGAAAAAAAAAGGUCAUCUUCAAUAUUAUUAUGGUGUGUUGAAUUCAUUAAUGAAAGAAUCAAAUUAUCCACAUUUGAAAGGAAGAAAAUAAAAAGAUAAGUAUCCAAGUAUCUAAUGGGUAUCUGAUUUGGAUACAUAUCCGACAUGUAUGCUUGGAGCUAGACAAGAGUGUCCAUAUAAAACAACUUAAAAACUGCACGACUCAACAUUAACCAUAAUAUCUAGUUCCUUUAGGUUCAUAUCAGGUAGAGAGAUUUUUUAAUCAAUUUUAAAGUAUGUGAUUUUAAGGGCUUCAAUGCCUUAGGACGUGCGCACACAGAGAGAGAAGGAAAGAAAUCAAUGCAGUAGCAUCUAGCCAUUUCUUGAUGCCAUAUUGUCACAACUGCAUCAUUCUAGCAGCUACAAGUAAUGCCUCUCUCCAUCUGUAUGUGUGCAUUUAUCUGCUUCUCCGCUAAAGGCAGUGAUGAUCUUCUUUGGACGCUACUUUCUCAAUUCACUAUUUCCCAUUUUUAUGCCGGACCAGAGAUGGUAAGUAAUGAUGGUUAUCUAAAGAUAGGAAGCCACUGUACCCAUGAAUAAGGAAGCCCUCCCCCACAGGAUAAGAUAACAAGAUCAUAUUCCAAAGUCAUUUGCGAAUCAUAUGUCUACUCAAGGGAAGUCCUUUUCCUUCUGAGGGCAAUUUUGUGAUUCUACAAGCUUCUCAAUUAUUUUUCAGAACCAUGAAGAAUCAUGGGAUCAAAAAUCUCGCCCAAAUCUUAACAGGCACAUGCACAAACUAUUCGAUGGAUGAGACACGGUUAUAUGCAGGAAAUAUUUUUCAUAUAACAAGAGGAUAUAUGACCUGAGGGCAGUUCUCAGCUCUCUUUCCAAACAACAAAUCAGCAAUUAUGAAGAUCGUUAAACAUAGUAUGGUUAUAACUCAAUAAUUACUCAUAGUUUCAGGAAUUUCUUAUUCCACCAUAUACUUGUUAGAUUAAGAAAAUUAAAUAAAGAAAAACUAAGCAAAAUAAAAAAAAAUGGUGACAUCAAAACAAUUAACUAUCUUUUGACAACUCCAGCUAGGCUAGAAAAACUGUGGUUGGGCAGGCUAGGGGGUCAAUAGCAGCUUGAGUGGUUGAAGAUGGGGAGGCAACAUGGAGAGAGAAAGAGAGGGGGGGCAGGGGCAGGGGAGAAGGGAAAGAGAGAGAGGGGAAGGGGAAAGAGAGAACUAGAUUAUUUAUGGAGGGCCUGCAGAUAGUCAUAAGAUAUAUGGGGAUAGGAGGAAGAGAAAUGGAGAGGGCUUUAAACACUAGCUACUCACCAUAUAAGCUUGCAGCUACAGGCAAUGCCAGAGAAUGGUAAAGUGGGGUGGAAGAGGGAGAAGAUAGGACCAGAGGAAGGGGGUUGGAGAAGAUAGACAACAUGGGCCCAGAGUUAUGUCACCAAUACCCAAUUGCAAGCAGAUACAUGCAAUGGUUAACAGGAGGGUGAAGAAGUGUGAGACGUAAUAGAUGGGGUCAAGGUUGGAAGAGAGGAGGGGAGUUGCGGGUCUAUGAGGGGGCAGAAUUGUGGAGGGGGCAGGAAAAGCCAGAAAUGCUAAUGUUGGUCUUCGGCAGUGGCAAGGUAGCGUCCAUGGAGGUGGGAGGAGAGGGAGGGAAGGAUGGGAGGCCAUUGCAGAAGGAGAAGCGUGGGGUAGGGAGGAGAAACGAGAGGGGAAUUAAGAGAGUAUGAAUAAGCAGGAGAUGGGAAGCAAUUGUUUCACUUGUCUAAGGACAAGACAACUAGAUAUUUUUUCCCACUCGGCCUCUCUUUUUAUUAUCUUUUCACAGUGAAUCUCGAUGUGUUGAUCUGAGAGCAAGAAAGUUGAGCAGUCAAGCCUCAAUAUGGUCCAUGCACUCUAGCUUUUCAAUGUUAUACACAAACACACAUGAAUAUGAAUUACACAAUUGACUUAGGCUAACCUACUUUGUCAAGUUAGGACCAAAACUAGAAAUGGGACAAAGAAGGUUGGGUCCCAGUUGGAUGUUUGGUUGGGUUUAGGUCUGACUUAAGUUCCAAAUCAGUUCCUAGACUGCCUUAACUACACAAGUCCAUGUCAGCAUCAGCUUUGGCCCAGCCCAACUGAUUGCCACCCCCUGACAUUUCUUCAAGGGCACUUAUGAUUCUAGGAAAGACUAUUGAAGGUAUACUUUCUCUUCUCCACCUUCUGAGAUAUUCCUGUUAACAGGGAAAAAAUGCUUUAAACAGUUAAUAUCUGAUGAUUAUAACUUGUCAAUACAUUCUAAGAUUAAGAUUCCACCAAUUCAAGUCAUUCAUGUAAUAAAGUUGAUGAAACAGGCCAGAGUGAGGAAGCAAAACUUUUAGAGGGAUUAAAUACAAAGCGAUCAAAGCCCUAUGCCAAUGGUUGAUGUCAUAGAUCUUUAAAGAGCACAAAGAUUUGUGAAUAACAUUAUAAAAUGAGA